AAAUUUUAUCUGAACUCUCGAAUAUUAUGAAUCAAUUACUCAAUCUCUAUUUCAUUUUACUAUAUAAUUUUUCAGUUUGUUUAAUUUGAAUCACUCAAUAAAUUUUUAACUUUAAAAUAUAAAGUACGUUGUUUAUUAUUACAGCUCAAUUAAUUAGUAUACUUUAUAUAAUUUUUGAAACUAUAAAUUCAUUUACUUAAAUAAUUAGAUUAAAUUUUUAAAGUUAAAGUAUUGUUAACUUAUUCAAAUAAUAUAAAUUGAAAAAUUAAAUAGUAAAACUAUAUUUCUGAAAGGUCAGAUAAAAAAUUCAAAAUAUGCCAUAAUUCAGACAAGUUCAAUAUAUUUUUAUCUUUGUUUAUUUAUGAGAGGGCAAUACCCCAGCUACAAAAACUUUAAUUUAUCACAAUAAUAUUUUAGUUAAUUUGUUUUAAUCUAUUAUAAUUAACUUUUUAAGUUGUUGUCCCGUUACUAAAUGUAGUUUAAAUUAAUUAAAUUAGACUGUGGAAGUUAAUUGUAACAAUCUAAAAAAUUUAAAUUAAAAACCAUAAUAAAUUAAAAUUUAAUAACCACAAUAUUGUCACGCGUCUCAAAGUUUGAUGAAAGUACUAUCUAUGACGUGUUUAUUGGAGGAUAAAUUAACCCCGUGAAAUUUCUUUUUUUCAUUUUGGUUAACUUAACAGAAAUGCUAAGUCGACAACUGAAAGAAAUUGUAAUAUCUACAAUCUCUCAUUAGGAUUGUAAAUUUACUAACUUCCUUUUUUAUUUUUAGUUAAAAAAAAGUGAUGAGCUUUGGAAAAAAAAAAAGUGGCUUUCAGAUUAGAAGAGGCAUAGAAUUAUAGUUCAAAGUAGAUUAUUUACCUAGGAUUAUUUUGAAAGUCCGUUUGCUUCAUGGUUUGGAAUAUUUUAAAAAUAUUAUAUAUUUUAUAUAAAAUAGUAUAAUUUUGUUGCUAAAUAAUAUAAUAUAUGUUCAAAUAUUACAGUAUUUUUUAAAAAGUACAAUAUCGAUCAUUUCGUUCUCACGUUUUUCUCUCUCAUUACCGCCACCACGUACCUUGUUAUUGUCUAUACCACUCAUGAGCUCGCUCGCGAAUCUGCUUCAGAAGUAUUCUUGAUCAGUGACUAUCGAUCGCUCUUUACCUCCGCCACCUUUGAUCGUCACCGUUGUCUCCCUAAUUGAUUUUUGAAAUGAGAAAAAAAUCGGAAGAAAAAGAAAAAAAGAGAGAGAAAGAAAGGAUAAUUAAGUCGGUUUGAAAAAAAACAAUGAUUCGAAUCUUUUGAAAUGAGAUAAAUAAUUCAUUUUUACAAAAUUAUAAAAUUCGUAAAAUUUUUUUAAAAAAUAAAUCUGAAAAUUACGAGAAAUUGAGAUAUGAAUAGUAACAAACUGGGUGCCCCCCGCCCCGGGAGCCGAACUCACCAAGCUACAAAAGUAGUCCGUUUCUUUGAUUCAUAUGACUUUUCUUUUUUGUUUUGUUGACAUGAGUUUUGUUUUUUGAGUUGGCCUUGUCACGUCGUAUAACUCGUGUCGUGUGCUACGGCUUCGUACCCCCCUCCACUGUUUCCCCCUCUUGUCCCCUCUCUCUCUCUCUCUCUCUCUCUCUCUCUCUCUCUUACAUGCGUAUUCUCUCUCUCUCUCUCUCUAUAUAUAAUAUAUAUAUAUAUAUACACAUGUACACUCACACUCACACUCACACUAUUGACUAUACCACUACCAAACCAACCUGCAUGCAACAUCUCUAAACAGUACAUAUACAUACUCUACACACUCAUAUAUCCUCCACAAUUUUAUUUAUAUAUACCAACACUAGUAUAUUCACCCCUACUUACCUCCGAGAAGGCUUCCUAUUAUUAUUGUUAUUAUUAUUAUUAUUAUUAAUUAUUGCUGUUGUGUUGCUGCUACUACUACUGAAGGAAAUGAAUUUGCUACCGUUGUCGACCACUAUCGCUGCCAGUGCGGCCGGUUCCUCCUCGUCGGGCGCAGGUGCAGGUGCGGGUGCUGCUGACGAGUUGGACGGCCGCAUCUGGCGCCGUCUCCCGCCGCUUCUACUCCCUCCUCUUCUCCGACGCCUUCCUCCGCUCCCACCUCCUCCUCUCCCCUCGCUUCUUCUGGUUCGCCUUCUUCCUCCUCCCUCCUCUGUCUCCUUCCUCCGCCUCCUCCUCCGCCGCCUCUUCGUCGUCGUCUGCGCUGCUGCCGCCGCCGCCUUCGUCGUCGUCCUCCUCCUCCUCUUUGCCGCCUCCGCAUAAUAUUGCAUUGCUUCUCGAUCCCGCGACGCUCUGCUGGUAUCGAAUUCCCUUGUCCUCCCUCGUCCCGCAAUCCUUCUCCCCCGCCGCCGCCUCCGGAGGCCUCCUCUGCUUCCUGUCCGACUGCUCCGGCCCCAAGACCCUCCUCCUCGUGAACCCGAUAUCGAAGAUCGCCGCCUGCCUCCCGCCGACGCCGACGCCCCGGCUCUUCCCUGCCGCCGCCUUGUCCGUCGGCCCCUCCUCCAUCACCGCCGUCGUCGCCGGCGACGAUCUCAUCUCCCCCUUCGCCGUCAAGAACCUCACCUCCGAGACGUUCCUCGCCGACGCCGCCACCGGCUUCUACUCCCCCUGGACCGGCCCCCCCAGCCCGCUCCCGCGCCUCUGCAACAUCGACCCCAGUCGCAUGGCCUUCGCCGCCAACAGGUCGGCUUCGUCUUCGUCGUCAUGCCAAGUGAAACAACCAUUUUUCUCUACCUCUAUCAUAACUGCUUAUACUCAACGCUACCUCUCAUAUCUGAACUCGAGACUAUAAUUUCUCUUAUCCUCGACACGUGGCGUAAUAUCUAUGUUAGUAUUCUUAGUAUUUUAUAUGUUCAAAAACGUGGCUUUUAAGCGAAAUUAGCUAGCUAUACAUGUACUUGAAAUAACUAGAAUUCAGAACAUGGAGGAGAUAGAUCUGAUAUCAUACAAAAGAGUAAUUUUUUUUAUUUUUAUAAGUAGCUAACUUAUGUUGGUAGAGAACGGCGGUUGGUUUUAAUAUUUUAUGUUUGGACCGCGGAGCGCCAUGCAGGUUCUACUGCAUGAGCUCGUCGCCGUUCGCGGUGUUAGUGUACGACGUGGCGGCGAACGCGUGGUCGAAGCUGCAGCCGCCGAUGCGGCGGUUCCUGCGAUCCCCGAGCAUCGUGGAGCUCGACGACGCGCGCGAGGGCGGCGGCGGCGACGGCGGCGGAAAGAUUGCGCUGGUGGCGGCGGUGGAGAAGAGCAGGCUGAGCGUGCCGCGCAGCGUGCGCGUGUGGGCGCUGCAGGCCUGCGGGCGCGCGUGGGCCGAGGCCGACCGCAUGCCGGCCGACGUCCACGCCCGCUUCUGCGCCGCCGAGGCCGGGCGCGGUUUCGAGUGCGUCGCAAAUGGCGGCGUCAUCGCAUUCACGAUAAAGGCGGCGGCUGCGGCGGCAGCGGCCGAGGUGCUGCUGUUCGAUUCGAUUCGUAAAGAGUGGCAGUGGGCCCCGCCGUGCCCAUUCGUCGCGCCAUACGGCGGCAGCAGAGCGCUGAGGGGGUUCGCUUACGAGCCCCGCCUCGCCACGCCGGCCAUCGGCCUCCUCGACUCCUCUCUUUCUCUCUCUUUCCAGGGCUUUUCCGGCUAGAGAUAGUAUCAGUGCAGGAAUUAUUAUCGACGGAGCAUGUCCAUUAAAUAUAUAUAUAGUAAAUGGACAUUUUGAUUCGAUUCAAUGUAUCUGUUUCUGUUGCUACAAUAUCGUACCUAUUGCAUAUGGAUUAUUGUUGUGGGAGCAAGAGGGAGAUAUGUAUGGAAUGAGUUAGGAUAGCAUAGCAUAGCAUAGUGCAGUGUAGGAAGUGUUGGGUUGUUAUUAGUUGAAGGUGUUGGGGGAAGCUUAAGUUGUUGGUGUUUGCCUUUUAGAGAGCAGGGGCUGAUGUGGUAGGGUCCAAGUGUUUGCAACUGUACUAAAAGGCUUGAGAAUUAAGUUGGUCUAUUAAUUUAUUCUCUGUUGCUACUCAUGGUUUGGCUUUCUCUCAUGGAGAAGCUUGAGAAUUAAGUUGGUCUAUUUAUUCUCUGUUGCUACUGAUGAUUUGGCUUUCUCUAUGGAGAAUGGAUGUAGUGAUAAAAUUUAAUAAGUGUACCUGCACCAGGUGUAUCCAUACAACUAACUCAUCCACAUGUUAGAUAAUAAAUUUAAUUGAUGGUUAAUAUCUAAGAAUCUUAAUAGAGGUAUAUUCUAUAAGAUGUUAAUCAGCUUAAAACCAUUUGGUUCAUAAAAAGUAAGUACCCAAAACAUUAUAUUUUUAUAUAUAUUUAUAGGCUGUUUAUAAGAUCAUACAAUGCAAGCAAUAAAUCUGAAUAAUAGCUUUGAGAUGUUGUUUAGUGCACAAAGCACAGUGCACUGGGUGCAUGGGAUUGUUCAUACAGAUAAAGUGGAAUAGAUAGAUGUGUUAUUCCUUUUGUAUUGUUUUGGUGUGUGAUGUGUAUACUUUUUCCAGUUAAAGGACAGGAAAUGGCGAGGUUUCUUUUUUGGCUACAAAAGAGGAAGAAUCUUUUUGCAGUCACAUGCAAGAGAGAGAGGGAGAGAGACAGAGAGACAGAGAGACAGAGAGGAGUCUGCAAGAGUAGUCCUUGACAAAAGCUAAGCAGAGAAGGGUGCAGAACCUUCUGGGUGUUGGGAUUCUAUUAUGGGGAAGAGCCAAAUGAGGGAAUAUGCAACUAAACUAUUAGAGGAGCAUGAGUUGGGCCAAUUUUGUGGGUUGGAGCAACUUUUGAAGCAGCUCCCUAUCAACAGAUUGGUAUAGUAUAGUUAUUGCUACAGGCAUUUGGUUUGCAGGUGCUGCUGGCUAAUGAAUUGCAUGGAGCUUUUGCUGAAAGCUGAAAUCAGUUUUUGAAUCAUAAAAUCUCCAGUAUUUUUACUAGUUUUUCUGCUAGAAUUGCUUAAUAAACUGCUGCAAGUGGUUUUUUCCCACUAAAAUCCUUCCAAACAACUGGGGUUGGUAACAGGAAGUGUAAUUGGUUAUUCUGCUACAAUCUCAUUUCAACUUCCUAUUGCGUAAAACAUUCCGAAAGUUCUAUGUUUAUUGCAGCAAAAAGCACAACAUAGAUUUUGAUAUGCUCCAACAAUAAGCCUUAGUGCUUGUUGCCUCCUCCAGUUUUACAUGAGCUUGCAUUAUAUCAAAAUAUAAAAAGCUACAGCAUGCUUGCUAUUAUUUUGCCAUCCUGUAUUAAGAGCCUCCCUGCAGUGUUAAAAGGAAAGUACUAAACCACACACCAUCUAGCGCAGAAAGAAAUUCUUAUAUUGAAAACAUCAAAUUUGACAAAAAUGUAACAGAUCUGUCAACUAGUGAGAUUACAAUCUUGAUAAGUCAGACAAUUGAGAAACUGAUCAAGUCAGGUUACAAUAGCCAUUAAUAGGUUACACGAAUGGCGCCCGAAUCUUAGAUGACUUCUCCGUCAGAGACACUUAAUUUUAGGCCAACAAGACCCUAAAGAAUGGCAUAAACAAAAAUGCAUCCUAGCUGUGUUUUGUUAUGCGAUUUUAAGCUUAAGAUGCAGCUUCAAAAAAAGAACUAAAAAGCCAUUCGACCAGCAAGCCUGCUUUCCGAUAUCCUUCUGUCGAUGGCCGCAUCAAUGGAGUUCAUCUGUUUUAAAAAGAUAUUUGAACAAGAGAACCAGAUAAGUUGCGCUGAAAAAAGAGCUUAUACAAAACAUAAGUGGGGUACUUUGAUCUUCUCUUAUCUAACAACAUAUAAAAGAGCUAAACUUGAAUGAAAUCUGCUGACCUGCACCAAACUCUGGUUGCGACUGUGACCAAAAAUAGAUAACAAGAUAUGCUAUGAUUUGGCAAAAGCCUGCCAGUGCAUACUUAUAUUCUUGUUCCACUCAAAUCCCUACGCUUAGUUCAGCAAUAGGGAGAAAGAAUAUAGAACAAAAAUUUAAAAUUAAAUUUAACAAAAUACAUACACAUUUUCGCAUUCCCCCUGGUGCUAUGAUGAGAACCCUCGAGUCAUUUGCAGCAUGAGAUUGUCAGUUUGUAAAACUAACUAGCAGCAAAGAGUAAUUUAAAUGCCUACAAACCUUUUUGACGCCCACACAUCAUCAUUAUACAUAAGGUGUAGAGCAGAGGGUGAGAUUAAAGAAGUCAUUGAUGACAUAGAACAGAAUAGAAUAUAGAGGGUAAAAUUCAGUAUGGGCCACAAAAUCGAUAAGAAUGUGCCAAAUUUAUAAUAGUUUAUAUGCAUCAUCAAAUCACAGUGAUGCAGUUUAGUGAUAGCAAAUAUUUCUGGAAGGUACUGAUUUUGCAUACCUUACCCAGAUAGACCUGCGAAAGGUAUUGCAGAUCCAUCGAACGAAUUAAGGAAAGGGUGUGACGACUUACCUGGCUAGUUUCAUCAUGCACCUGAUACUUUGGCAAAGACAUUCUUCUUUCCUCCUGUUGCAUAGUGCAUAAUUUUAGAAAACGAGACAUCAUGACGCAAAAUAAAGAAAUAGAUAGCAUCAAAAGGAAGUUAUCUUACCAUGGACAUUGCCUCGUCAUCCCAGACCAAGUAUACCUCAUUGGUGGCUGGCUGAGUAGCAGGGGCCUUGUUAGAUAUCACAGGUGGGGGCCCAAUUGAAGGGGCACCAGUGUUCGGCCCAGACGCAUAACUAUGUGAAUUUGCAUAAGGAGCACCACCUAAAAAAAGGAUAAUACAAUGUACUAAUCAAACACCAAAUAAAGGUAGAAAAAAAGGGAAAGUAUAGCAUAUUAAUCAAUGCCACAUAAAUGAUGUAGGAUGUCUUAAUAUCAAGACGCUUCUGAGUUAGCUAUAUACAGUUGCAGCUACCUUACAUCUUGAAAUGCUAAGACACUUGAGUAAUUGCUAUUUAGUUUUUGCUCAUCGCUCAUUCUUUGAACAGAUGAAGUUCCUGUGAGCUUAAAAGUACGUUUGAUUUAAGUACCUCUAUUCACUGGUAAAAAACAGAAUAUACCAUUACUUAAUGGAGCAAUUCCUUUGACAGAAACAGUUAAAUUCAAGUGAAACUUGACGGGGAUUUUCUGAAAUCAAACUUAAUGAAAGUUGAGGCAGCAAAAGCAAAAUUUUAAAGUUUAGAUACCCAACUCAAAAUGCACUAAAGUACAGUUUUUUUUUCUUUUUCUUUUUUUUUGGGGGGGGGGGUGUGUGUUGCUUAAUCUAAAGUAACAGAAUCAACAAACAGAAAGAGCUAUUCCUACUGUUUCUAUACUGCAAAAAAAUUUCAAACCUUGAUUGUUUAUGGCAUCAUAUCCACUUGCUGUAGGAGUGGCGUACGCGGAGUUCGUGUCACCUGAACCUCCGAAUACUGCUGGAGAAGUUGGUGUAACUGUUGCCGGUGGGGGAGUCGAUACAUUGGUACUGAUGGGGAAAAGUGGCUGCGACACCGGAGUGAGCACGGGUGAUGGUAGACCAGGUGCGCCAACUGGCAUGGUUGGUAGCAGACCAGGAGCAGAAGUGGAUGCUAAAGGAGUUGCUACAUUUUGAAUAGGAAACAAAGGUUGUUGUGGUGCCAUCCCUGUAGGUGGAAUAGGGAGUGGAACAGCUGGUUGAGGUGGGAACCAUGGCUGCGGCCUUGGGAUGGACCAAGUUGGAGGCUGCAUCACCAAUGUUGGAUUGUAACUGGAAGAAAAGUAAAAAGAAAAGAAAAGAAAUGAAAAGAAACCCAUAAAGUCAAACUAGCAUCCUCAAACAGCUAAGGGAAAGUAUAAAAAGGAAGAAACAGAAGUGUGACACACACAUGCAUACACAUCAAAUACAAAAGAAAGAAAACUAUAAUAAUAACUAGAGGUCAUUGGAAAACAAAUCUCUGGAGUUCAAUUUUCUCAAUUCCUUCAUUCUUAAACUUAAGAGAAUACCCUAUUUCUUGUGGGAAUUUUUAUAAAUUUUUGAAAGAAAAUUCUGACUUGCAAAAGUGCCUGAUGCGAGUUUCUUGAAAUCAUACAACUGCAUAGUUAAGGGUUUAAAUCCAAAUAUGUAAAAUUUGAGGCACCUCUUUCCAAAAGAUGUAAUAACCUACUGGUGGCUUUUUAAGGGGAGCAGGGGUUCAGGGGAUAUCAAUAUAUUUUUGCCUAAAAUAAAAAAGAAAGAUAAGAGCAUCAAAAAGAAAAUGCUAUCUGUAACAUCGAUUAAUGUGCACAGGAUCAUACACUGGAGGCAUCGCACCAUAAGUUGGUAGUGGAGGAUAGCCAAUGCCUGGACUGGGUACCACACCAGUGGCAAGUCGACCAGGUGGCACUUCCAACUUAGCCAUCUUCGCAGAGGAAUCUUCAUCUGCAUAGUAUUUACAGGAAGAAAGGUCAAUAAAACUUGCAGAAGAACAUAAUCAUAUACACAAUAAACAGGCCAUCAAGUAAGCAAGAGUAAAUCUAGUUCUAGUGUAGACUGAAAAUUACAACAUUAUUAGUUUCGGUUAUUCAGACAAAAAGAACUUAUGCAUAGUCAAUAGUUUUCACAUCCGGAAAUGACCAUCAAGAUGGACAAUAUAUACGAGGUUGGAUACAAGCAAGAAGCUUCAUAAACUUUGUGUAUGGCAUCUGACCACUAGUACGGACAAUUUCUACGAGAUAAAAAAUCAAAGAUCAAGCUACCCAAUAUUCAUUGACAUUGUUGGAUAAACCAUAGCAAUAAGUAAAGAAGUUCUUACUAAAAUCAAGUCAAAAACUAAUUCAACUGAGAUCUCUAGCUAAAGUCAACCAGAGAAGUAGUAUAUUACAUGGUUAAAGGGUAUUGUCACAUCCAGUAAUUGAUAACUAAAUAUUAAGCAUCUCUUGAUCCCUAAAAAUCAAGUGAUUUAGUCUAAUAGAAGUAGCAUCAUAAAAGGAUUAACUAAUUUGCUCUACAAGGAGAUAAAAUAAAGAUGAGAUUUCAGGUCAUAAAAGGGAGAUAAGACAAAAGGAAUAGGAUUUAGAGAAGAAGAAGCUGAAAAUUGUCAAUAAUCCCAAGGAAAUCUUGUAAUACCUCAUCUGCUCCAAGUUAUUGAAUUCAUCAAAACUUCCUCUCAAGUCAUACAAACAGAUUGUAAGAACAGGGUUCUGUUGUUCCAGAUAAAACUUCAGGGUAAAACAGUAAAACUCCUACUUUUAAAGAACACAAUCGUCAUAUAUUGUGUCAUGACCGUAAACCACUCAUCCACCUCUGUUCAACACAAGCAUGUAAAAGAAUAUAUAUACCUUCUCCAUAAUGAGCCGCUAAUAUUUCUGGAGGAAUCCCUUGCAUACCAAAAAUCUCGAUCUCUGUUGAAUCUCUAUCAGGCUUUGCAUUAGGAACCCUGCAAGUAACAAGUUAAGAGAUAAAUACAAAGCACAACGUAUGUCAAAGUUGAUAAAUCGUAUGAUAUGAAUGAAAUGCUGAUAGGCUAAAAACAGAAUUGCAUGAAAUGAAUACACCCCAUAUAAUCAUUCAAAGGUCAAACAGGAAGAUUACAAACGACACUCUUUAAUUCUCUAAUUAGGGAAAGAUUAAGUUGAAAUCCUUCUUAAGUCAUUCACGCAAAAUCAAGUAAGACAUCUUUUGAAUCCCCAAAAACAGACCAUAAACGUACAUUUUUGAAAAACAUAGCUACGUGCUAAAUUUGAAUCGCAUAAAAGUAAUGCACAUAUUAGAAGCAAAAAAUAUUAGCUCCCCAAAUCGUGGAAUUUAAUCUAAAACAAGAAAAGACACAAAUGGAUGAUAAAAAAAAUCUCAAAGCAUCAGUAUGAAAUUAUCAAUGAAAGAUAGUAGCUUCAACCUUCGAUGCAUUGAAUUUACCACGUACACACUAUCGCACGCACACAUGUAAGCUACUUGGUGUUGCUUGGUUUCAUAACCUGGUUAAUCAGGGUAUGUAAAUCACGCCAUCUCCGAGUAAUAUAAAUGUGCCAAUAUUCCUUUUCCCCCCUACACGUAGUGUUCCCAGCCUAAGUUUCGAGCUACUAGAUAGUACCAAGGCAUCUCAAAUCAGCAGCUCAAAACAAAAUUAAACAAAAAACCACACGCUAAAAUAAUAUAAACGACACAUUUUUUUUUCCGAUUUCAGUAAUACUACGUGAAGUUCAAUGAAAAUUAACCUAGUUUAAUCCUCCUGCUAAUCUGCCUUCUUAGUUUAAACAGAUAAAUAUAUGAAACCAACCUGAAUCCAAAUCACACAUCAUCAUCACGAGAAUCGAAUUGGUUAAAUGCCAGGGGCCAAAGAGAUCUAGAGUUAGGGUUUGAUUUACUUGGUGACGGUCUCCUUGUGGACCUGGAGCACGUGGAUCGCCAUGCCGCUCGCGGUGGAGAGCUUCUUGUGGCACACAUGGCACUUGAAAUGCUUCGCCUUCUGGUGCUGGACCAGGAUCUUCUCGUCGUCGAACUCACGGUCGCAGUAGUAGCACCAAAACUUCUCCACCCUCUUCUUCUUCUUCCCCAUCGCGGCUCCUCCCGCCUCCUCCUCCUCCUCCUCCUCCUCCUCCUCCUCCUCCUCUUUCUCUUCGGAUCCUUCCGACGAAUCUAGGGUUUCCCCUCUCCUUCUAGAUCGCUCCUCCCGCCUCCUCCUCCUCCUCUUCCCCUUCGGAUCCUUCCGACCAAUCUAGGGUUUCCCUUCUCCUUCUGGUUCGACGAAGAUGCAAGGAUUAGGAUUGGGGUUAGGGUUAGGUUUAGGGUUUCAAGCUCGUCGCCCCCAACGAAUUCCUCUUUCCAUGUCUCGAUCUCGACCCUGCAACAGCCCUUCUUUUUUAUUUUCCCCCUUCGUGUGUUUUUUGGCUAAUUUUGGAGAUUAUUAUUAUGUCCUAUAUUUAAUGUGAGAGAAAUUGUAGUGCACGUGCAUAGCACGUGCAAAUGAAGUGUCGGGACAAUUUGGCCCUUGGGCCUUACUUUUACAUCUUCGUCCAUUACUUUCUACUAUUUUACAUUUGUACAUCUCUAAAUGGUAGUAUAAAUAGUAAUAAGUGUACAACAAUUCUUUCUCCCCAAUUAUCCUUUUAUCCUUCUUCUUCCUCCUCCUCCUCUCAUCUUUCCCAAAUUUCCUCUCCUCUCUUCCCAAACCCUAACCCUAAACCUCUAAUCUCCUAACUCUACUCCUCCCAAUUCCCUUUCCUUUCCCUUCUCCCCAUCUCCCUGUCUCUCUACCUCUUCUUCUUCUCUCGACGGGUUGCGGAAUCGCUCGGGACAUUACAAUUCUCUACAUCGACGGGUUGCGGAAUCGCUUGGAAUAUUACACUCAGUCGCCGUUAUCAGUAACCUCUAUCUCCCCUCAUCAAUUUAUUUCCUCUCAUUUUUUUUUUCUCGAAUUAGGUUUAUUUCUAAGCAUUAGAUGUAGAUUAAAUUAGUGGGAAUCUUCCUCAAUACACUUAUUUAAUCUUUUUAUAAUCAGCUAGUUGGGAGAGUUUUACUAUGUUUUACUCUGAUCUCAUUUUUUUGAAUCAUAGUCCAUCUAUUCCUUGCUAGUUAUUGUAGGAUUUGUAGGAAUUUAAUGUGAUUAAACCUAGUUAAUCCAGCAAAAUACGAUUGGGCAAAAUAUGAUUGGAUCGAAGCUGUUUACGACUAUUUUGCGGUGUCGAUUAGAUGGAAUCUAAUAACCUGAAGUUGUAUAAGGUUUUUUAAGCGGAUUGAGGAGUCGGGAAAAUUUUUUUUUUUUUUUUCUACUUUUCUUAUGUAGAAACAAGAUUUAGUUGAAGAGAGGAAAUGGAUUGUAGUUGAGUACUCUCCAUUUUUUAUACAAUUCUUUUAUGCUGAUUAGAUUGAUCUCAAAGUCACUACAAUGUGAAUUUUAAGUUUGCUUUUAAGAGUCAUAGGAUCUAGGGCUUGGUGGAUUAUGAUAGUUCGACUACAGGUCGAUUAAAUUGCCUGAACAUUUCGAUUCAAUAUGGUUUUGUUUCUUUUUUUUCUUUUCAUGUUACUUUAUUUGUUUGUUUUUCUUUCUUGACCAUGGAGUAGUGUUAAAAACCUUUCUAUUGAAGCAAUUGCCGACCUGUAUAUUUUCCAAUGAUUACACAUGGUUUUAUUAAUAUCAGAAACUCGGAAAAUUAGAUACUUGAUGUAGUAGACUAGACGAUGCUGUUGCUGCUUGGUUGCCUUCUGUUCUUCUAGAGGCUGCGGCAUAUUGGUUCCUCAAGAAUUCUCAGUCACUAAAUUGCGAGUGUCUUCAUGGGCUUCUUUUCUGUAGGUUUUUUUUUUCGUUUAUCAAAAGAAUGUCGACAUUUUAAAGUCUGCUCUUUUUCCUUCUGAACCUUCAAAAUGUGGAAAUUUCUGUAGUAUCAAUCUUGGAGAGUGAGGUGUCGAUGGCACUUUAAUGCUACCAUCACACAUUGCAUCUAUUUCUUUGUGUUCUUCUGUUCCUGUAUAAUCAGUCUAGAUCUUGCUAUUCAGCAACUUCUUCUAGUGAUUUAUGUCAAAAAGGGAACUUUAGCUGUGAAUCCAUUUGUAUAUGACUGCUAAGUUUGAUUAGUGGAAUCUGCCAUCUCAUGAUGUUUAAAUAAUCAAGCUUGAACCGAAAUAAUUGUGUAUUGAGUACUAUUUCCAUAUCCAACAGGGUACCAAUCAAUAGAAGCAAUGCCGGGAGUAAUACAAAAGUUCUUCAUUGCAUCUAUGGUCAUGUGGAUGGCCCCAGUUGCAAUAUUAUACGGGUUUAAUAACAAGUUAUUUCCCGGUAUGCAUUUCUUCUCUGACCUGUUCCUCUUAAAGUAAUUACAUACUAAACAAAUAUGUUGGAAACCUGUAGAUUUCCUUAAUCAUCAUUAUCCUAUCAUUUUUUAGCUUAAUACUUUUCCCUUCUCCUGUAGGCAUUUAAGAUUCCACUCUCCUAUUUUGUCUUAUCGCUCUUGGUUCAUAUUUUUCAUCUAAGGCUCCAUCUAAUGAUAUGAUUUGAGAUGUAAAUAUGGAAAUUGUACCUUCAUAUUACCUAAUCUUGCUUAAUUGUUUGCUUAAAUUGCACGCUUGUUUGAUUGUUUGGACUUGCAUACUUGUGAAUAUCAAACAGGUACGCGUCAGCUUUCCUCCGAAUCCCAGACACUAUUAAGCGGAUUCGUUGCUGUUAUAUCGGUCAACUUGGUCAUCAUAUUGUACAUUUAUAUGGCAAUGAAAGAGCCCGCGGCUCAUGAGCAUCAGCCCGAUCCAUCCUUUUUAGCUGAAGCGAAAGCCAGUAUCAGCAAAAAUACAACCCAAUCCAGAGAAAAAGAGGAGUAAGAAUUAAUGUAAGUUAAAUGUGAAUUUAUCUCUAAUUAGAUGUUUUAUAUCCUUUUUACGUUCCACUAGUACUCUAAAAAGUUUUGUGACGGUAUAAUGAUCAGUGUGCAAUUGCUUGUUUUAAUUUUGAUUACAUAAAAACAAGUGUAUUAUCUUGUGUCUUGAUGGUGUGAAAGUUGGUGAUAGCAGUCAAGUUAGUGUAUGAACUCCCCAAUGCAGCAAUUUGUGCAGUUACUACAACUGCAAAUAACUAGAUAUUGGAACAAAGAUCAUGUUCAAACAACAUAUCAAGUUUAGUUGAAUGAUCUAUGAAAUAGCAUAAGUGGGUACUGUUUUCACUUCCAUUUGUCUUGUGAUAUUAUAACUCUCCAUUUCUUGAUUUAUUAUUAAUAAAUUAUUUACUUGCUUCGUACUUUCAGUGCAUAGCUUUCUGAAUAUUCUUCAUUUUACCUUUUCUUUUCCUAUUUUUUAUGUUUGAGAUGUUGAUUGUGCUAUUCUUACUAAUUGAAUAUUGCAAUUUAAAAGCACAAGUAUUAUUAAUUAGUGUGUCCUUUUGUUAGGGCAUAAAAGUAUCUUUUGAAUAUCUGAAGAUUUUUGUGUAGUAUUUGGCGAAAAUACUGUCACAAAGUUGAUGAAAAUAGUAUUCCUAGGUUUGACAUAAAUCAUUGACAUUAGACUCAUUCCCUCUUGCUGAUAUCUUGGAAAAACAAGGUGGACAUUGAAGCUGGGUUGGUUCAGGGACCCACCAUUUUUAUCUCUUCUCCACUCUGCAUAUCUCAGCCUAAUAAGGGUCUAAGUGCUUCUUGAGAAUGUGUUGUCCCAGUAGUUAUGUUAAAAAAAAAAAAAGGCACUGUACUAAAAAUCUUUCCAAUAGCUUUACUCUGCCUCAGAAUUUGAGGAAUCGAUUUGGAACCUAUACUUUUAAAGGUUUCAUGUCUCAGUUUUGCUUACUCUUGCAGCAGAAGUUUCAGAUUUUUGUUCUUUAACCUUUCUCAAAAGCUCUACUAAAGAAUGCUUUUGCGAAAAGCAGAUAUAGAAUCGUCUCGCCCGUAACUUUUAUAGCUAUUAUAGAGUUUGGUUCCAAUCCAAAAUGCUGACAAACUGUUUUCGUCCAUCACACCAAAAUUUUUCGAAUUUCACCACCAAAAUGUUACAGCAUAUCUUAAAAGCGCAUUUCAGCUGCAGCAAAUGGAAACAUUCCAUCUGCGAACUCGACAGCGAGCAACGACAGCAUAAUCGAACCACUCGGUCGAAAAGAGGAGCAUUCCAAUGUAUCAAAGAGGAUGGCGAAAACCUCUCGGGUUAGCCUCGAGUUGUCGGUCUUGAAGCAUUUUGUGUUUCUAGGCCCAUUUAGCAAGAAGAGACAUUAAACCCCCGCCGAGAAGAAGGGCGAAAUGCGUUCCUAACUGAAGCCGCACGUUGGUUUGCACUCUCGGGUUCAUGAAGUCCGCUGCCAGGAGAUCGACGAGAGCCAUGUAGAUUAAGAUCCCCGCGGAGGCGGAGUUGAAGAGGCCUUCGACGAUUAGGGCGGUCGCGCUGGUUCGAUCGUAGCUGGACGAUAUUGCUAUGCCCAGCAGAAUACCGAUCGGAGCCGUGAGGGAGAAGAAGGUUGCCAUGAUCACCGUUGCCCUGGCUCUAAACUUUGCCUGCGGUUAUGAAAACAAAGAAGAGGCUCAGUACAGCAUAGAAUUGGCAAAAUUUUGAUCCUCGGAUGCAAUGCAAACAUUCUUAUUCAUUUUUCGGUGUUUUAAUAAGUAAAUUUGGUCCUUAGGAUUUAAAACUAUCUAUCUAGUGCUACAUUAGUGGUGAGAAAGUCUAAAUGUAGCACAUGUUUGGCUCGGUCUCGGAGUGCUGCUUGAGAAAGCGCCGACACUUGCUUAACAAUAACAGAAUCUUCAAAUUAGAACUUCUUACUUUUUUUGAAAUUAAAACAAAUGUAUUUCGACUUCACGAUGAAGUUACCUGAACAAUACAUCCGCCGAGCCCUAUGCCUUCAAAGAACUGAUGGAAACUCAAUGCUCCCACCAGCGGCCUGAUAGUGGAGGGUCUCUGAGAAGCACCCAAGGAGACACCAAUGAUCACAGAGUGCACCACAAUCCCCAGCUCCAACACCUAAAUCAACAACAUCAGGGAAACAAAAUGAACUAACAAAAUCCCCAAAGCUCACUUUGAACGUAGUAAUGAUACCAACAACACGAAGUGUCUCAUUCACUGCAGUUAAUUGAAGCGUAGUUUUCAAUAAAUUAAGUCAAAUCAUGUCCUGUACUGAUGAUAAAAGCAGUGUCGUAAAAUACGUAAUAGGAAACAGUUCAGAAAUAGUUUUAUCUGUUUCUUGCUGACUGUCUCACCUGAGAAACAAUGCGGUGGCGAAUCCUCUCCGCCGCCGACGCCUCCUCGUCAGCUCCUGCUGUCUCCGCCGCGCCGUGUGCGUGCCCGUGUGUCGCGUGCGUGUGCACGUGCACGUGCCCGGCGUGCGCCCCUCUCCCCUCCUCAUCAACGCCUCCUCUUCCGUCGCCGUCGUCGUCGUUGUCGUCGUCCAGCGGCCGCGCUUUGCUGAAAUGGGCGCGGCGGUAGUAGCCGGUGGCGAAGGAGUCGAGCAUGAGGGUCAUGGCGGCGGACGCCAUGGCCACGAACCCCGCGAAGGGGAAGGCGCGCCAGGGGGAGCGGGGGACGCAGGGCGAGGUGAGGGCGUCGAAGGCUGCGGGGAGGAUGUGGACGAGGCCGGUGGCGAGGAUGACCCCGGCCGCGAAGGCCUUCACCGCGAAGAACGCCUCGCUCUCCGCCCGCAGCGCCUGCACCGACCGCCCCGCCAUCGGGAUGACCACGCCGGCCGCCCCCGACGACAGGAUCGCAGCCACCGCCACCGCCUUCAGCUUCAGCGCCUGCGCCGCGCCGCGGCCCCCCUCCGACUGGUUCUUGCUGCAGCUGCAAUUCCCUACACCUUGAAUUGGGGUGAAGAAGAGGAAGAAGAAGAAGAAGAAGAAGAAGAGGAACAGGAUCUUCAUCUUCAUCUCCAUUGAGAGUGAGGGAGAGAGAAGGGUUGAGUGAGAGUGAGCGUGAGAGUGAGAGUGAGAGUGAGAGGGUGGGAUAUGAUUAUGUUAGUUAAAUAGGGAAAGAAACAUUGGAGGGGGUAUGGGGAUUUGUAGUGUAAUAAUGGGCUCAUCACAAGGGAGUGAUGAGACCUAUAAGAAAACAUUAAAAAAACAAAAAACAAAAACAAAAACAAAAACAAAAAAGUCUUUUUCAUAACAGAUUACGUGGCACACGAUAUAUAUAUAAAUUUAUGCGCAAUACUAUCUAUUCAUCUUAACAUAAUAAUAAUCAUUUAAUUAUUUUUAAAUAUCCCUCGAUUAAAUAUCUUUUGAGGAAUAGAUAGUAUGCUAUCCGUUUCGUUUAUUUUAUUUAGAAACAAACUUAGCUGAAGAUAUGAAUCGAUUAUAAUUUAAACUCGAAAUCUUGGGUACCAACUAUCAAGUCCUUUGCCAUUUGCGCCGGAAACGGCCGGUAAUUUUAAGUUACUUUACAAAUAAGUAUAGAUGAAUUAAUGAAAAGUGUAAAUCAAGAUAAUAUAUAAUUAUGACAUGUAGUUUUAAGCUUGAAACACACCCAUUGAAUUAUAUACUUUAUAAAAUAUUAUAAAAUUCAUUUAUAACAAAAACAUGUUUUCUUAUCUUAUCUAUAAAUAUAAAGUUUAUACUAAAAGACUUCUUGCACGUCGUUUAUAUUCAUCUGCUUAUUUUAUUUUUUUAUAACUGAAUUGUGUCAACCUUUGAAUCCUUUCAUGUAUAAAAAACUUAAUUAAGAACAAAAAAAAAAGUUAUUCUUGUGAAUUAAUUCUACAAUAAUUCAUAAAUUAUAUUAUUAUUCCACGCUUAUAUUAAUAUGUUGCUGUCAAUGAAAUAUUAUGGCUAUAUAUGUAAAUUUGUAAAAUGUUGUCGAAUUUAUUUGUCAGUGUAGUAUUAGUAUUAUUAAUAUAAUAAUAAUAAUGGUCUCGAUAUUUUUGUGCAAUAUAAAUUGCUUGUUAAAUAUGAUUUUAUUUAUAUGAAAUAAUAAUAGGUAUUAAAAAAAGGAAUAUGCAAAAGGUGGGAGAGGGGACUAAACAAGGGGGAGGGAGAUGUCUCAACGUCACAAUAUUGUGCAACAAAAGUAGAUGUUCUUCUUCUUUUUUUUUUCUUUUUUUCCCUUUUUUUUUUUUGGGGUGUUGACAUGAUGUUGUCAUCGUAGACUCAUGAAAUGUGAUGACUAAAAAGGGCGUAAGGAAAAGGGGGGGGUGUACGUAGCCAAACUGGUAGGUGGAGAUUUGAUGAGGUAAAAAGCAUCAUCUUUAAUCUUAAAAGCUCGAAAUGAUUCAAAAUAAUAAUAAUAAUAAUAAUAAUAAUAAUAAUAAUUAAAUCGUGUGGAUACAGUAUUUAUAUAUUUUUACUAUAACUUUUUUUAUUCAGAAGAUCUGUCCGCUAAAGAUGCACCGUUUUUUUUGUGGAGACAAAUCAAAAUUACUUGAAUAAAUUUAAUUCUCACCUGCUCACGAAAAACACUUCUAUAAAGUCUCGAGCUAGAUCGGACACGCAACCUUACUUAAAAUUUAGGGUCUAUAUUGUGGCCCCUUGUUAUUUCAAUUAUAACAAAACUCUCACAAUUAUGAAAAUAAUGUUGAAGUACAACUAAUAAACUAUGAGAAUCAAAGUACAGAACUUUAUUGACUAUUUGUAAAGAAAAGUUCUCUGAUUUAAAUUUCAUGAUAGGUUCCAUUUGAAAGUUGGAUUCUCUCAUUCUCAGCCACAAAUUGAGGGAAAGGAAAACUACAAAAUGUUUGACUAUUGCUAGAGGUCUUAUUAAUAUAUUAAUAUAUACAAUAUAAUUUCUAUUAUUAUUAAUAAUUUUUAUGCAUACUCAAAAACAUUUUAUGAGUUUACUAAUACAUUAACAAUACAAUCGAAAAUCCUUUGCAGAAGUACGUACCCUGCUCUAAUUUUAGUAAAGCCCUCGAAUAAAUGCAGCAACUACCACCCAAAAAUGGGAAUCAUAACAACUUCACAAAAUCAUUGGUCCCAAAAAGGUUUAAUAUGUUAUAUAACUCCUAUAUAUGCUCUCUUUAUUAUUUGCUACAACAAAAGUCCCAAGGUCUUUUAGGCAGCGUUUGGUUAAGGAAUAGGGAUAAAAAUAGGUCCUUAUCCCCUCCCUUUAUACCCAAAUGCUAAUUUUUUAUCCGAGAAUAGUAGUUCUCGGUUAUCCCCACCAACACCUCCAUUUUUUAAUAAAACUAUCUAAAAUUAUUCUUAUCCUCGCGAACAACCCAAUUUUCAUCCAAACACUAUUCUUCUUAUCUCCAUACUUGUACCUAUUUCUGUAAUAGCUAGUUCUUGCUUAUAUCCGAACCAAACGGUACCUUAGGUUUUACUACUACAAUCAUAAGAGAACCAAAGCUUUUUGAAUACUUGCGUUAGAGAAUGCCCACCAUAGAAAGUGUUGUUUAUAUGCUUCAACCAUGCACUGAGUGUUGAUUGAAUAAUUACUAACAUUUACAUACCAACACAAUAGCAGGAAAAAUAAAAGUAUACACAAGAAUAGUAAAGCAUUUCUUUUACUAGUUCCCUUUUUUUUAUUAAUUUUCUCAAUGACCACCAGUGAUUGUUGGAUACACAUAAUGAAUUGUGUGAAAUAUUUUAAUUAAUUUAUGCACAAUGUUUGAAGUGUUAUAUAUAUAUGGAUUUGUCGACUUAUAAGUUUCAUAAAUAUAGAACUCUUUGUGACAGACGGACUCAAAAAGUAUUUUUCUUAUGAAAGGACAAAUGAUUUGUGCUCACUGGGAAAAAAAAAAACACACUUAUAUUGCUGAUGUGCUGGCAAAUUUUUAUAAAAUAUUUGGGACUCUGCACAUACGAAUCAUUCAAAAUGCUACACAUUAUUUGUGUCAGAACAUCAAUAAUUAUUCAUAUUUUUUUAUAGAAAACACUUUGAAGAACACUUUGAAGAAUCCAUUAACAAUGUAUAGGAACUCUUAACUUGGAAAAAUAACUUUAUAGGAAGAAUCAUUAGAGAUACAUCUCCAAUGAGUCUUACGUAGUGGUACUUUAAAACUUUAUUUAUAGACUAAAUGAAUUGCUAAAAUAGAAAAUAUCCAAAUAUUUGAUGGAAAAUUUGCUUCAGGAGACUAACCAACAGGAAUGUCAAUUAAGUGGUCCCUGUCCUAGACUAACCGACCGUCCCCAGAGCAAGUGGCAAAGAGCUUGGUGGUUGGUACCCAAAAUCCAAGUUCGAAUCCUAAUUGAUUCACAUUUCUAGCUAAGUUUAUUUCUAAAUGAAAUAAAACGAAGCGGAUAGCGUGAUAACUAUCUCUCUCAAAAAAGUGGUCCCUGUCUUAGGGACCUCAAGCAUUAAAAAGGACACCAAAGUGGUUCAAUCAAUAGUGCUCUAGCUAGUGACACACACUCAAAAAAGUCACGAGCUUUGUUUCUCAAACAUGCUUGGUGCACGUGGAGAUGUUAACGGGUCGGUUUUUCACCAAUUUUAACAUAAGAUCAUGAGGCGAAACCCGUUAAGAUAUCAAGUUUUAUCUGUUGCCGUUGAAAGCGCAACAAAAAUAUAUUUCAUUUAUUUUUGAAAAUGAUAACAUGCGAUGUAGAUUGCAAUAGUUUGAUUAGACUAAUUUCGAAAAAAAAUAUAUCUCUAUAUAUUUUUGCUCUAGUUCUCUUCAACCAAGUGCGCCCUAAAUACUUUGGAUAUUCGCAAUCUUAAGGAUUUAGCAGCCAUGGCUAGAGUUUUAAUUUGUACAAAAAAGGUUAAUGACGAUGGUAUUUUUAGUGCCAAAAAUAACUCAAUUUAAUUUUAUUUUUAAUAUAAAAAAAACAUUAAAUUUUUGCUCGUGAAAUUAUUGCUUUUCCAAAUAGAGAAGCUCCAUAAAGUAAUAAGUCCCAGUGGUGUGAAACUGGUCAGAGUCUAAUUGAGUUGGUGGAGCCACAAAAAAUAUCUCCCUCACGUGUUGCACCCAAGCACAGAUAUUAAAGCGAACCCAGAAGUGGAGGAAACUGAUGAGCGCGACUGCGAACAGUGGCAAAGUAAACAACAUGGCCAUUUUGAUUGAGCUGAGCCUAAAAGGAGUCAUGCUAUUUACUGCAACGAUUCCGCGAAAAUAAGACGUUUCCUCGGAAAAUCCAUGCGUCAUCUCACACCGCAUCGCAUGCAAACCAAUCAAAAUCCUUGAUUCCGCCAAAAUAAGGCAUUUCCUCGGAAAAUUCAUGCAUCAUCUCACACCGCAUCGCGUGCAAACCAAUCAAAAUCCUUCACCCAGAACACGAGCCUCAAAUACCUCACCACAGUGAGGCUUGUUCCCGCACAAAUAACCUUUCAUUUUACAUUAAUACGUCCAUUUACACGUAACAAUUGGUACAACAUUACGGAAAAUUUUACACACUAUCUCCGACUACAUGUUGCUCAAGAAAAUGAAGGAGAGCAAGACCAGAAGCCCAGACAUCAUCAUCCAACACAAAUUCCUCGGGAGAAUGGCUGAUUCCCCCUCGGCAUCGAACAAACAACAUGCCGACCUGCGCCCGUAUCAACGACAAAUUUUAGAUGACGAGAAAGUAACUAAGUUCUACAAGAACGAAAUUUUAACUAUGGAACCAUGAAUUACCGAAUCCCCCUUAAUCACUUACGAGAAGCGAUUGUGUAACCUAGUCCCUGAUUUUUUUUUUUUUUUUUUUUUUCCCGCUACUGACCAAUCUGCCCCUUUUCAUCUAAAUUAGUUCCCCUUUCACUUUAUCUAGAAGAUGAGUAAAAUGGUCAUCUUACAGAACAGGUCUCACAAGUUCGGGGACAUAGAUGUUUAACUAACAAGUUCAGGGAUUAAAUUUCACAAUUUUGAGAAAGAACAGGAUUUAUUUGUCCACAUUUAUUCAUUUGUUCUACGAGUUACGGGAUAUGGAUUUCUUGAUCAUUGUUCAACGAGGGAAAAUGCAGAUUCUGAACUUUUCGGCGUAAAUAUAAAGAUUGAAAUUGCGAUGUGUAGGAGUUUGCAGCAUUUUAACAUGAAAAAGAAAAAAGAAAACCAUUAAUCACAUAGCAUAAUUCGACCAACCUUUGUUAACCGAGCCAUCGCCAUUGCAUCAUGUCCUGCUCCACUCAUUAAGAUCGGCAUCUCGCUAGGGGUGUAGCCGUGCAUCUUUCUUAAAGCUGAAGUUGCCGCUUGUUUUAAUUGUACGGCUAAUCCCGAGUCGCAAAGAACAGCCUCUGCACUAUGCUGAAAAGAAUAAAGCUUAAUUUAGUCAGAUGUAUGUCCGAAUGAAUGCAGAGUUGAGCUAUACUACACUCAAAAGGAUAUCAAAUUACCAAGAGUAUUAAAAUAAUCCACAAAUUAAACAAUAUAAGCUUUGGAUGUCUUUUCGCUUGGAACAUUGACUAAACAAGGAUUGCAUCCAAAUCUAACUAUGCUGUGUGAGUGUCGUGUUCGUGAAGAGAGAGAGAGAGAGAGAGAGAUGCACACACCUUAAGUUCAAUUGUACAAUUGAUCAUCCGACGAUCACACUUCCAAUAAAUUUGCUUUGAGAGCUCAGCUAGUAUGGCUUCCCUUGCUUUGUCAUCAAUCACCCGUACAUCGACGGUAAAAUUAACCUGUAAAUGGAAUACUUAUUUCACUUAACUGCGUAAAUAUAUUACUUAAGACACUGAUAAUAUUAUAACAUAAUUAAAAGGAAAAAGAAGGGCAAAUGAUCAUUUCCUGGCCAGGGAUGACAUUGCUCGCACUUGGCCAGCAAGAUAGUUCCCCCACCGUGCAGACCAAUCCCGCUAGAGAUUCCUUCGUGACGCAUCCACAUUCAUUAUCAUAAGUUAAGAAUUUCUCGGGUUUUCUACACAGACUUUCCAAUGUUACAAUUAGUUCAGCAGCAGCAGCCAUCGGAUCUUGGCGCAAUGGCAUCGGGACUGUUCCGGCAUGCCCUUGCACCCCAUUUACUAUCACCUGGAGAAAUCAUUUUAGAAUGUAACAGCCUCUAAAUUAGCUCAUUAUAAACAUUUGCAUUAAAAACCGGAAUUAUUCAACAAAUUUUAGAUACAACUCUAAAUUUCAAUAGAUGUUCCAUUAUUUCAAUCAUAGCCAUUGAGCAUUAUGCUCAAAUACCUUUAAUCGUGUCUGUCCGGCUAUUCCUUUGACAAUGCCAAGAGGAUAACCCAGUGUUUCCAAUACAGGGCCUUGUUCGAUGUGAACCUAAGACAUUAUAAUAGAGUUGGAAUAAAGUUUCGAUCAUUUCCUUAUCUAGUAUAAGAUAUUCUACCCAUUAUCAAAAGAUUAUACCUCAACAUAACCCCAAACGGAUUGUGGAUUGUACUUGACUCGGCCAAGGCUUUCAAUGGUAGCCUCGAAAGAGUUUUCUCUAAGGACAUUUUGCACUGUAACGCCACUGAAUAAGUUGCAUGUCGUAAGUAGCACAUCAACGGUUUUCCACUCAACAGAAACUGGCUAGAUUUAUAUACAAAAAUAACCUCUUAUCAGUUGCGAGCAGUGUCGAUGGUGGUAGGAUACCAGCUACAGCAGCACUCCCUAAAAAAGUUGAUUGAAACCUGACACCUUCCUCAUCACUGAAUGCAAUCACCUGAGAUUACACAGUAAAAAGUUGCUAAAUUAAUAUUAUGAUUUUCAUUGUUCUUUUAAUGACUAUGAAAAUGAGGCCGAUUCCAAUGCAGUAUUUAUAAAGAAAUAAUCCUACGUACAGAGUUUUACUUGUUUAAAGAAAAUUACUGGUAAGGAUCAACGUAAAUAAUUAUUUUUUAUUAUAAAAAUAAUUAUAGAUUAGAUUAAUCACCAACUACUCAUCAUACUAAAUUUUCUUCUGCUAGAAUGUACGAUAAGAUCCAUGGUUUAUACAACAACAUGCAGAGGAAUCAGAAUAAUCAUAGUAUAACUAGAAGACGUUAUUUAAUCUUUACCAGUAAAUUCAAGUGAGAACAGUCUCCACAUAUAUGAACAGGAAAAAGUAUAAGAUAAUAUCUAACCUCCACCGGCCUAUAUAGUUUCUGCAAUUUCCCACUGAUCUUCAGGGCCUUCAAAGCAGAGAUGGCACAUAUUACACCAAGUGCUCCAUCGUACAUACCAGCAUCAACAACAGUGUCCUGUUUAGGCAAAAAUAUACACACUAUCACAUUUCACGUUACGGGUACUAAGGUAAAUUAAAGAUGUCCGACUGAUCACCAUGUGAGAUCCAAUCAGUAAGGCCUCAGCACUUGAAUUGACCGACUCAGUUCGACCAUGUAUGUUGCCCAUUUGGUCCACCCAACUAUAUAUCGAGCAACAUACAGGUCAGUAACUUCAAUAACUUCAUUAUAAGUUAGAAAUGAAAAAAGAGAGAAACAAAGAAAAGAAAAAAACCAUACGAUCUUAAUCCAGCAUCCUGCAUCCAACUGAUGAUAAGAUCAGUAGCUCUUAAAGCGGCAGGACUUAAGAAUGUCCUUUCAAGAUAUCCUUCACGAUCAGAUACCUAAUCAAAAGAAACUAUGAUAUUACGGGAGAGCAACUUCGCUAUGUACUGAAUCAAUCAGGGAACUCCUUCAUAAUUAAAAUAGUUAUUUAUUAAAAAGAAAAGGUAAACCUGAAAAACGAUAACACAAAAACAGAUUGUUCGGAAGGUGCAUAUUGGCCGGUUGAGUUUCUUGAUGUACUUGGGAAAUAAAUACCCUCAGGUAAUAGUACAAUUCACUAGCUUCUAUUUAUCCCGAAAAAUGGCUUUGAUUUAACGAUUAAAAUAAAACCACAUUUUGCAUAAAGCUGUCAAUAGAUUAGUACCCACAAACUAACAAUAAAUUUUUCCACCUUUCAACAGGUUUUCGGUACAUAAAGCAUCGAGAAAACCCUAGAUAUCUCAUGUAAGUAAAUAGUCAUUGAAUCAACUAUUGCAGUAAUUUCAUCAUAUAGCCAGAUUUUGGAAUAAUAUGACAGGAUACAUCGGAAAAGUUGCAUUACUACAUACUGUGUUCAGUACAAAAUUGAGUAGCAGGUGAUCUGGGACUUCAGUAACAAAGAUAUGAGUGAACUGUUUACCAUCUCUAGAUCACAAAUUGCACCAAACUUCAGAGUCUCAUUACCAUCAAUUUAUCAAAGAACAACUUAGACGUUUCUUAAUACUGUCUUAUACCAACAAUUAAUCCUUAUACAAAACAAAUCAUACUAUAAAAGUAAAUGCUUUUUUUUAAUCUAUGUCGACUUGUAACUAUCAUAAACAGAGUACAUACACACAUACAUAUCUAAAUAAUAUAUAAUCAUAGACUAAGUGGUGUCACUCUAAGUUUCCAUCUCUUAGCAAUAUGCAAUAUAAUCUAUAUAUCACAUCUUAAAAUUAUCUUUUUUUACUGUAAAAAAAAAUUUCAUAGGAAACAAAAAAAAUACAUGUAAUGGUAUUCAACAAUACAGAAAUAUAUUACAUCUCUCACCAUCAUCUUACGUCUAUUCAAACAUCACAACCAAUCCAUAAAAAUUUUAUGAAAAAUACCUUGAAACAACUAGAAUUAACAUUAACAGAUCCAUACCUACUCAAAUCACAAUCCACAUUUCCACUACUCUAAACAAGCAAAAAUUAGUCCAAAAAUAUAAUCGAAAUCGAAACCUUUCCGAGCUCUCUGAUUCUAAACACCGCCUCAUCCCUCAGAAUCUCCGGAAACAGUUCGUUCCCCCCAUUUCCCACGCUUCCCAUCUCCGACCCUUCAAAUUAACCAAAUUCCCAUCACAGUUCGCAGAAAAAUUACGACAAAAAACCCUAAAAAUAGCGGGAAAUUUUGAAAAAAAAAGAAAAAAUUGAAGCACCGAGGAUUAGAUUGAGCGUGAGAAGGAUCGAAAUUGAGAAAAUGAGGAGAUUAAGGGGAUUGGGAAGGGGAAAUGGUGAGGAUUUUGGGAGAGAAAAAGCCAUGGUUUUUUCGCUCCACUAUUUUCAUUGUGUGGCUCCUCCGAAGCGCCUCGUUUAUAUAUUGCUUUAGAGUGUGCUCAUACACUGUUCCGUAGGAACACAAUACAUAUAAACAGCGCGGGAAAUUUACAUAUAAACCCUCAACAAGUGUAAAUAUGUUACAACAUCCCAUCUUUUUUUAUUUUUUAAUUUGUUUUUGAUAGAGCUUAUUAAUGUUUUAAUUAACUGGCACACUAUUCAGUAUACUAUCAAUUUGUUAGAUUUUUUUUCAUAUUUUUUAUAACAAAAUUUUAAAAUAAAUACUAAUUAAUUUUAAAAAUCAAUGCAAAAGUAACAAAUACACCAGUAAGAUUUCAAAAUUAAUAUAAAAAACUUUAUUAAUUUUUACAAUUUUUAUGAGAGUUUGGGGGGCAAUUUGUAAUUUUCCCAAUAAUCAGACUGUAACAAUCAAUCCUAGCCGUUCAAUUAAUGGUUGUGGUUUUAAGUUAUAUUGUUCCUAAGGUGCAAGAUACCAUGUCCCGUGACAAAAUAGAGUUCUCUGGAUACGUCUCCAUGCGCGCGCAUAAAAGCUCUAUGCGAGAUUCCAUCCACCGUCCGAUCAGGCAAGUGUACGGUAUUUUGCGAAACCGCAGAUGGGAUUAUAUGCGGAUGUUUGGAUGAUUAAAUUCCUUGUUCAGGAGCGCAAGCUGUGUAGUGGAUCUAAAAGAAUAAAAUUAUUUAUUUGAUUAUUUGAUACGGAAUCUCGGAUACGUGGAUUCUAACCCAGAAAAAAAGGGAGCUGUUAAGGGACUAAAAAAAUGAUAAUAAAAAUUUAAUGGGUAUUUUUGAGUGUAUCCAAUUUAUUUUGUUCAUCGAGAGGCUUUGUCGCAUAUUAGUAGUUUAAUUUUUCAGAAUCAAUUGAUUUGAUAAUUAUGUGCUCAGUGCACGAAACUAGAGAACUGUUGUAUUGCAUUUUUUUCGUCAUGCACGUUGAUUCUGCCCAUAAUCUUGACAGAAACUUUUUGUUGCUGCAUUGAAAACUUUAAAAAUUUUUUGGGAUACGCAUGUUAUGUGAUAAAAUUCAUACUAUUCAAACGGUAACACCAGGAGACGUACUUGCGGUAGAUUCUCUCCUUUCAGUCGAAUCAGUGAUACUAAAAUAAGACUUAUAUUUUCAUAUUCAAAAUCUCACUUUUGUUUUCUGUCAUAACAAAAAUACUAAAUAUGCUAUCUGAAGCAAACAACGAUAAUUUUUAUACGCUCAACCAUGUUUAGGGUACAUUUUAAAGUACCCAUAGCUACAAUCUUGGAAUUAGGUUGGUGAUUACGCAUGAUAGCAUGAUGAUAAAUAAUAAACAAAGUGCACGCACUACGUAUAUCAACACAUGGAUGGCAUAUGAGAAUGUUUUAUAUUAUAAAAAUGCAUGCAUGUAUGAGUAUGACAUAGCACGACAUACAUUCUUGAAUAAUUUAUGAUGCAUGCAUGUAUGAGUGUGACGUCGCACGACAUACAUGCUUGAAUAAUUUAUGCUUAUUUAUAUUAUAAGUAAUGGAAUAUUCGUUCAUGCAUGAGACCAUGCUAACAUAAAGAUCUAAUAAAAAAGGAAACCUAACUUUUAUAAUUGGUUCAUCUUCUGAGUUCCAUGGACACAGGUGACAAUGUACGUGGCUCAAAUUCAUCCACACUUCUUUUUUUUUUUCUAAUAAAAAAAACCUUAGUAAAAUAAUGAAACUUUAAACUAAUAUAUAUAUAUAUAUAAAGAGAGAGAGAGAGGGGGAGAGAGAGUGUGUGUACGGCUACUAUACUGUUAUGAGUACGAUCGCCUUCAUACUCAUAAGUUGUUUUCGAUGAUAGAGCUUCCGAAUCGACGAUCCACACCGUUAAACUUUAUCUAGAGCAUUUGAAACAUUUAGAAAUCAAAUUUCAUAAUUUUUCGACAUCAUUUACCUUACGAUCAAAAGCUCAUAAAAUUGACAAUUUUUAACGGCCGGUAUGGAAUACUUUUUAGUUUAACGGUGCAAAAGAAUCCGAAUAGGUUGAAUUUUUGAUAGAAAAUUAUAUUCACUACCUAGAUAAAGAUCAAUAACUCCGAUCUUAAAUUGAAGGAUCCGAUCAUCCAUUUUUAAGACUUCGUUCGAUUUUGACCGUUCAUUUUAUGCCCGCUUGAUGGACUUUAAUUAUUAAGAUUUCGAAAAAUUAUGAAAUUUAUUUUCUAGAAGUUUUAAAUACUCUAAAUCAUAUUUAAUGGAGUGGAUCGUCAAUUCGGAAGCUCCAUCAUCGAAAACAACUUGUGCAUACGAAGGGCCCAAUACUCAUAAUAUAUAAUAUAGUAGCCCUACUCUCUCUCUCUCUCUAUAUAUAUAUAGCGCAAAUCCAAAUUAACAAUUUCACAUGGUAAACACGAUUAGCUAACAAAUGACUACUGGUCAGAUCGAAAUUGGAAUAUAUAUAUAUAUAUAUACGAAGUCCGAGACCAUGUUAAAAAGCAUGAAUUAAGUUAUAAACUAUACUUUAUCAUGAGCAACGCUAUAUACACUUACAAAUACAUUUUAUAAUAUUUUACAAACUAGCAUAUAUUGUGAUAUCUAAUUAAUACAAAAGCGUAAAUCAUGAGAAGUUAAGCACGACUUAUGAGUUUGAAAUGGAAAUUUAAUCAUUAAAUUAUAUAGUUUGUAAAAUAUUAAUUGUGAGAUUUGUUUAUGUAAAAAAUAUUAAUUUUUCAUAUUUUUUAAGUUCCUCGUACGAAUCUCUCAUGGUCACUGUAUCAGGUUUUUCUUUUUUUCUUUUUUUUUUUUGUUUAAUCCAUAAGACACAGGAUGAUUUCUUAUAUACAGAGACAAUUAGUAUAUCCCACUGUAUGGGAAAAGUCACUUGUUUUUCAAACCAUAUCUAAGAAAUUUAAAUUAAACCUAGCAAAAACUUUUUAAAUUUUGAACCUGGGUUGGAUAAUUUAUUCUCAUGCAAUAUACACAUAUAUACCCAUUUUCAAAAUUUUGAAUUACCAUCCUUUCUAUAUAUAUAUAUAUUGUUACUAUACGUACGGUUUUAAAGGAUAAACUUAAUCAACCGUAUUAAUUAAAUGUAAACAGCUCAAAAAGGAUAAACUCUACUAAUUAAAUUUAGUUUUAGAAAAUUUAGAAUGUACACCCUGCGCUUAGAUUUGAAUUAUUUUAUAUUUCCCCCCAAAAAAACGUAUUUAUAUCCUCCACAUUAAUCCUACUUAUACCACUCAACUCUUAUCAUUUCUUUUUGAUCUUUUUAUAUAUUCUAGCUGGGGAGGGAGAAAAAAAAGAAAAAAGAAAAAGUGAAAAUUAAGGCUCUAUUCUAAGUUGAUAUUAUGAAGAUUCAAUUGCUUUUACUACUAACCACAAUAUUGUGUGUGCAACACAGCAUUGGCUUUUCACUAGAGAGAGCCCAAAAGCGCUUCCCCAUGCGCUUAAGUGGAGAACAACACUAUCAAAGGUUCUUAAGAAGUGCUUCUGCUAGAAAAAGUUCAACUAAGGUAUAUAUAUAAGUUCAUGACUAUAUAGCUUUUCUAUAAAUCACGAGUUUAUUUCAUUACGUACGUAUUUUUCGAUCAUGUGUAUAUGCUUUCAUUUUAUUGUAGAAGAGUCGAAUGUUCAAUCUGAUUGAGUACGGAGCGGACCCGAGCGGGACGCUGGAUAGUAGUGAAGCUAUUCUAAAAGCCGUAGAGGAUGCGUUUAAAGUGCAGAGCGCGAGCGGCAUGUUGUGGGGGGUCAAUAACUUGGGCGGCGUGGUGAUUGAUCUGCACGGUGGCUACUACAAGAUCGGCAAGCCGAUCCGAUUCCCGAGCGGCGGCGGGAAUUUGGUGGUGAGCCUCUAUUUUUGCGUUUAAGUUAUAAUUAUUGAUUUAGUUGAUCAUAUUAGUAAUUAAUUAACAACGCUCUCAGUUCACUAUAACAAAUUAAUAUUUAAGAAUGUUAUUUUAUUAGUUGUAAAAAGUAUCUCAAUAUAGUCUAGCGUCAUAUUUGAAAGCGUCUGUUAAAACGUCGGCAAAUGAAGAGUUGUCAUAUAUAUACUGACGCUUAUGCCAAGCGGCGAUAAAAUAUAAUCUGAUAUUUUAAAAUUUUAGAAUUUUUAGAAAAUUUUGAAAUCCUAGAGCUUCGAAACAUCGAAAAAUUAAAAAUAAUAGCAAAGUUUAUUAUUGAAUAAAUAUGACAAUGCUUUUUAAAGCGUGUCGUCUAAAAAUUGUCUUUAUAUUAAGAUUUUUUUUAUAUAAACUAUGUAAUUUUUGUUUAUACGAAAAAAAAAGAGAAAUGAUAGUAUGAUUCUUUCUAAUAAUAGCACUUAUUUAGUUAUUUCCUUAUUCAAAAAAUAACCAUAUAUAGACAUUUACUUUAUUUUCCUUAAAGAAAAAUAUGUAUAUAAAGGCCACUAUUCAAAAGUUUGAAAAAUGAUUAAUUAUUAAGAUCAUAAAAGCAAUUAAAAUGCUUCUCCAAACAGAUAAAUCUUAAAGUUGGCAAGCGCAGUUUACUCUUCAAGCCGUUAAUUAGCUUCGGUGUAUUUCCAAGUACUAUUUUAGCCUUAAAUGUCGCCUCACAACUUAACUACUUCAGACAAAUCCAUUUAGCAAUUGUAAAUACUUUUUUUUUUAGAAUAAUAAUAACAUAUAUAAGUUUUCGCUGUUAAAUCUAUCAUAUUGGCCAUUUUUUUAUCUAUUAGAUCAUACUAACCGCUUAUUAAAUUUUGGAAGAUCACUAUCAUCUUAACCGCAUAUCUCUUAAUCAAAGACUCGACAAUUUAUCAGCACCAAUAACUUAGUAUUUUUAAUAAUAUAGAAUCUCGAUUAUAUAUAUAUAUAUAUAGAGAGAGAGAGAGAGAGAGAGAGAGUAGAGCUACUAUACUCUUACGAGUAUAGAGCCCUUCGUACUCAUAACUUAGUUUUGAUGAUAGAGCUUCCGAAUCGAUGAUCCACUCAGUUAAGUAUAAUCUAGAGUAUUUAAAACUUUUAAAAAAUAAAUUUCGUAAUUUUUCAAAAUUAUAAUAAAGUCCAUCAAACGGACAUAAAUUGAAUGAUCAAAAUUAAACGACAUCCUAAAAAUAAAUAAUUAGAUCCUUCAAUUUAAAAUCGGAGUUAUUAAUCUUUAUCUAGAUAGUGAAUAAAAUUUUCUAUCAAAAAUUCAAUCUAUUCCAAUUCUUUUAUACUGUUAAACUAGCAAAUAUUCUAUACCAGCCAUUAAAAUUACCAAUGUUGUGAUCUUUUGAUCGUAAGAUAAAUGAUAUUGAAAAAUUAUAAAAUUUAAUUUUUAAAAAUUUUAAAUAUUUUAGAUAACAUUUAGUAGUGGUAUAUAUUAGGACUGAUCUUUUGAAUGUAGUUUCAAGGAGGCACGAUAAAAGCAUCAGAUAACUUCCCCAGCACCGGCUACCUCGUCGAGCUCCACUCCCCGCAAUCCUCCCACCGCCUUUCGCGCCACAAUUCGCACUCUGCCAACCGCACCGCCGUCCACGCCUCCAACCUCGGCAUCUACUACGAGGACAUCACCUUCCGCGACGUCCUCUUCGAUGCCAAUUUCCGCGGCGGCGGCCUCCUGGUCGUCGACUCGGCCCGCACGCGCGUCACGAACUGCUUCUUCACGCAUUUCCUCACCGACGGCAUCCUCGUCGAGGGCGGCCACGAGACGUUCGUCUCGGACUGCUUCCUGGGGCAGCACCUCACCGUCGGGGGCGAUCCCCGGGAGCGGAACUUCUCUGGUACCGCGAUAAACCUCGCUAGCAACGAUAACGCCGUAACCGACGUCGCGAUUUUCUCCGCGGCCGUCGGGGUCCUCCUCCGCGGACAGGCCAACAUCCUCACCGGCGUCCACUGCUACAACAAGGCCACCUACUGGGGCGGCGUCGGCAUCCUCGUGCGCCUCCCGGGUUCAAGUCAAACCAGGCUCGACAAUUGUUAUAUGGACUAUACAGGUACACUUUACUACACCACACGUUUUUCACUUUCUAUACUAUACUAUUUAUUUUACGCAGAAACUCUGUGUUAAAACAUAAAGUUUAGAGCAAAAUUUACGCACAAAUAUAGUCUAGGGUUUGACUUCAAACUCUCUACGGUCAAUUCUCAUGUGUUCUACUUUUGCACUAGAAAGUCUACGCACAAAUAUAGUCUAGGGUUUGACUUCAAACUCUCUACGGUCAACUCUCAUGUGCUCUACUUUUGCACUAGCUAGCUAGUAGCCUAGUACAAGUAAAUUUGCGCGCGCUUAAAUUAAUAUUUUAUAUUCAACAGGUAUCGUUCUGGAGGAUCCAUUCCAAGUAAUCAUAACCAACGCAUUCUUUUUGGGUGACGCGUACAUCACACUCAAGUCCAUCAAGGGCGAGAUCUCGGGUCUGAACAUCGUCGACAACACGUUCACCGGGUCAUCGAACAGUCCAAUUGUCAAACUCGACCACUCCGAGAAACCGUUCACGCACAUUGACCAGGUCGUCGUCGACCGCAACAGCGUGCGGGGGAUGGCCCUGAAGUCGACGGUCGGGAGGUUGACCGUAGCGGGGAAGGGGAGCCAGUGGACCGCCGACUUCUCGGGGCUGCUGGUGUUUCCGGACCGGAUCACGCACGUGCAGUACGCGCUCCACUCGCGCGACCGACGGAGCAUCCCCGUGCACGCGCUGACGGGCGUGGCAAACAACAAGGUGGUGGUGGAGGCGACGGGGGUGGUCGACGCUGUCGUGUCGGUCGCCGUCGACCAGUACUUGAUGCCCGGGGAGGUCAACCACUUCUAAUUAAGUAGAGAAAAAAAUAAUAAUAAUUUCGGGCUCUUUUUAAUAUUAAUAUUUGAUAGAUAUAACAUUCAUUAUUGGGUGAGUCGUGAUUAGUUAAAUUAUUUAUGCUGUUAUUUUGGAUAUUGAAUUUAUGGGUAAGUUUAAUUAGUUGCUUUUUGCUGAUUAAUUGUGUCUGAUUUGGUCAAAAACAAAAUGCUAUGAAUUUAGAACUUGGCAAUGUUAAGAUCGAAGUUUCAAACCCUAUAUCAGAGAUUUGAGUUAAUCUCGAACAUUAAACAAAAAAAAAAAAAAUCAACCUAAGCAAUUUGUCUCAUUUUUUUAUUUUCACACUGUUGAACGUUACUGUUGAAAAAAGUAGUAAAUAAAUUUAUCGUGUAUAAUUAUUAACGAUGGACCGACCAAAUUUAAUCAAAUUAAAUAUAUAUAUAUAUAUAUAUAUAUAUAAAAUCAAUCACUACAACAAAAACGGUCUAUAGCGACACUUUUAAAUAUAGGUACAUGUCAAAAAAGUGCUGCUAGCUAAANCUUGAAAAUCGUUAAUUAAUUAUAAAAGGAGGAGAGAGAAAAGGGGGAAAGAGAAAAAUUAAAAGUGGGGCUACUGCUAAAAUAUUGGAAUAAAUCUAAUAUAUAAAGUAUUCUCAUCAUGAAUAAUAUUCUCAGUGGACUUUAAUUUGGAUUCCCCGAAAAUUAAAGCAUUUCCCCUGUUACCAUGAUAACCACUUGAAUUGAGGUCAACAUCAUGGUCUCUUUUUCGUCGUAGUUGUCAUCAAGUGGUUUCCCCAAGUGGAGGAGCAUCGCUAGAUAUAACAUUGGAUCGCCUUUUAUGGUGACAAAUCAAAUAAUUCUUUUUUUAAAAAAAGAAAUUAAAUAUGGUCACAAUAUUUAGAAAAUUUUAAAACUUACUUAGAACUAUUCAGUAAAAUUCUAUUCAGUGUUAAAAGUUUUUAUUAUGAUUGAAAAGUAGGAAUUAAUGCAGUCGAAUAUUCAGAUGAAAUAAUAUAUUUAGUUUUCGAUAUUUUUUUUCAACAUAAAAUAAAUUACUUCAUAGAUCUACCAUUACAAACGCGCGAUAAUUAAUAAGAUGUUUUAGAGAUUAAAUUUCGAACUUCUGCCUUUGAACUAUAUAAGAAAGUUUUCAAAUCAAAUAAUUUAGUCGCCUUCGAAUAUAUAUGUAAGAAAGUUUUCCUAUCAAAUAAUUUAUUAUUAGAUAACUAAUUUUAACAUUCAAAUAGGAUAUUAAAGCUGUGAAAAACAUUCUGAAUAAAAUAAAAAAUUUUAAUUUUAGGUUAUUAUUCCUUUUCUGAAGUGUGAUAAUUACUUUUGACUCCUUGGAUUACUAUCACUAUUGAAUAUAAAUAUUAAAAAUAUUAUUCUCUAUCAAUUUAAGUUUUUGUAUAAUUACAAUUGUUUUAUAUAAUUUAACUAAGUACUAAAGUAGAAAGUGCUAAAUUUGAGUCCCAUAAAUCUCCUAACAUUAUUAAUUUCUUUCCAUUAUAUUUAAGUUCACGUCUUUGGCAUAUCGAAAUAUCUCAAAUCCAAACAUAAAAAAAAAUGUUGAAUAUAAAUAUAAUAAUUAAAUACGGUCUCUAAUAGUUUAUUUUUUAAAGAACAACGAAUAUUUCAUAUAACUUCACGUCUUUGGCCUUACCAAGUUAUUAGUAUUGUUUAAUUUUUUUUAUUUAAAAAAAUUAACAUCGUGAGUCUAUUAAAAAGUCUUGAACUUAACUAUAAGCUAUAAGAAAAUAAGGAUUAUUCCGUAUAAUUUAACGCAUUAAAACAAAAGGGGUAAAAAAAAGCACUCUUAGACAAAAGGAGCAAUUUUCUCAUCCUGCAAAAAUCACACUGAAACAAAAGGACUAACUUUCUCAACUGCAAAGAUAGGAAUAGACGUUAUUGACCAGUAAGAUUACCAAAUUUGGUUAAUGCUUUUAGUAAAGAUAUAUAACUCUAAUAAUACUAUUUUACUAAUAAAAAUAGAGUUACUUAGACUAAGAGAGCAUGAUAUUAAUAAUUUACAUCAGCUAGAGCCACAUAAACAUGCACUGAUCACCAUGCUAGAAAGUACACGUACAUACCCAGAAAAAGAAAACCUAAAGAUCAAAUUCUCGCUCGAGAAGUAGAAGUCAGUACGCCAGUACAUCCAGAGAACAGCCCUCGGCGACGCUGCCUUCGGAUGAUAACGGUGGUGGCAAGAGGCAUCGGCGGCAUGUCGGGCACGAGCUGCGCGACGCGAGCCAGCGGUCAACGCACGCGACGUGGAACUGGUGGCCGCACCCCGGCAGCACCCGGACCCGUUCACCAUCCGCAAAGUCCGACAAGCAUAUGGCGCACCCCGCCGGCGGGGCCGGAGCGGCGUAGGUGGCGAUGGGGAGGGCGGCGACGUGCUCGCGCUUGAGGCCGCGGGCGGCGCGGCGGCCGCAGCGGGCGGCGGGGCUGGCGAGGGCGCAGCGGACGGCACAGCGGAGAGUGGAUUUGAGGCCGAGGGCGCAGACGAGGGCGCAGAUCAUGGCAGCCAGGAUAACGGCCACAUCGUAGUCGAGGGGAGCCGCCGAGUGAUCGGCGCAGGGGGGAGGUGCUGUGGUGGAGGGGGUGGGGGGGAGGUAGGGUUCUUGCAUGUUUGGCCGAGCUAGGGUUUUCUCUGGGUUAAUUACAUGCUCAUGCAUUUGAUACUAUUGUUAGUGUGUAAGAUAAAGAUAUGAGAGAGAGAGAGGGGAGUGAUAAACUGAUAAGCCACUAAGCUGCCUUUUUCUUUUGAAAGAAGGGUAAUGGGAUUGGAGAGGAUGGCAUCUUAGUACUUGUGACCAGGGCUGCCAAUGCAGCUUGCUGUUCGCAAGCCAAUUGAUCGAUGUUGGGCUCGAAAUAAGCUAGAGAUCGAGCGGAACACGAGCUGGGCUAGUUUGCUCUAGCUUGAAUAUAUAUAUAUAUAGAGAGAGAGAGAGAGAGUUCGGCUGGAAUAUUAUCGAUAGCACCAAGCGUUUGGUGCUAUCAAGUUUUUUGCCGUUAAAUUUAACCAUUUAACUAUUUUCAUCUGUUAGAUUAUAUUAUUAAACCAAUAACUUACUCAACCCUAGGGGGCCCAUAUUAUUCUAACCGUACAUUUUUUAAUCCAAGGGUCAAAAUCCUAAUAGCACCAAAUGCUUUGUAAUAUUGAUAGUAUUCCAGCCUAGGUAUAUAGAGUCCGGCUGGAAUACUAUCGAUAGCACAAAACAUUUUGUGCUAUCAAGUUUUCCACCGUUAGAUUUAACCCUUUGAUUAUUUUUAUCCAUUAGAUUAUACUAUUAAAUCAAUAACUCACUCAACCUUAGGGGGCUCACAUCAUCCUAACCGUACAUUUUUUAAUCCAAGGGCUGAAAACCUAAUAGUAUUCCAACCUAGGUGUAUAUAUAUAUAUAUAUAUAUAUAUAUAUAUAUAUAUAUAUAUAAAGUUUGACUAUUAUACUAUCAAUAGCACAAAGUGUUUUGUGUUAUUAAGUUUUUUGCUGUAAAAUUUACUCUAACUAUUUCCAUCCGUUAGAUCAUACUAUUCAACUAACCACCCACUCAAUUCUAGAAGACCACUAUAUAUCAUCGUAACUAUACAUCUUUCUUCCAAUAGCCGAAAACCUAAUUGCACAAAUGACUUGGUACUAUUAAUAGUACGGUAACCUAAUUCUAUAUAUAUAUAGAGUGAAAAAGAGAGAGAGAUUAAACUGGAAUAUUUUUGAUAGUACCAAACCAUUGGUGAUAUUAAGUUUUCAGGUAUUGAAUGAAAGAAGUCUAUCUAUCUAUCUAUCUAUCUCUCUCUCUCUCUCUAUAUAUAUAAUAUUAUAUAAAUUUUAUUGUUUGAAUUUUAGGCCAAUCAAAAUAGAAUGAAGUCUAUAUUUUUUGAAUUUUAAUUAUUAGAAAAUUAUUUUAUCUUAUUUUAUUUUUUUACCUAGUAGUAGGGCUGACGAUUUAACUUAUUAUUUGCGAGCCAGCUUGUGUUUGCUCGUUAAUAAACAAGUUGGACAUGAGCUGAACUUUUCAGCUUGAUAUUUUUGCAAACCAGUAUGCGUUCAGCUCGUUUAAUAAACAAGCGAACACGAGCCGAUCUUAGAUCGCUUAUAUUUGCAGAUAUUUUGGGUAAAAUAUUUUAUAUGUAAAUAAAAUAUUCUUUUCGAAAGAAGCUUUAAACUAGAGUUUUUGUUUCUGUUUCAUAAGAGAAACUAUUUAAGAUAUUAUAGUAAUUACAAAUAUUCUAUACGCACCGUGGAGCCAAACAGAUACUUAGCUGCUAUAUACCCCAUAUUCUUUUAAAUUGAUAAUUUGGGGCAAUACAAUGCAUUAAUUAAUAAGUGUCAUUUUAUGAAGAAAAAGGAAUCAAGCAACAUAACCUAGUUGUUAUUAAGGCAUCGAAUAUUUCGUUUUCCCUAGAAAAGAGAGAGCACCCUUUUACUUAUUUAUAUAUUUAUUUAUAUUUUCACAAUCAUUACACAACAACACACAUGACACAACCUAAAAAUUGGGUUUCUUGCAAAAUUUUCUUAGUCUUAAUCAGUUGCCCUGUUCCAAUUUUGAAGGAAUUAGUUAAAGAUGCCAAAAAGCUUCUCAUAAAUUAAUACAUCAAAAAACAUCAAAAAAAAGGGGCUCUCACCAUGUUUGUGCUAUUAUUCUCUGUACAAAAUCAUAGUGUGAGGCAACAUCAACGCCGCAGUGGUUGUUAUUCGGAAUGCUAUUCAAAAAACGGCGGCACUCGCCGGUUGUUUUACAUUAUAUAUUAUUUUAUUCUUUUUUUAACAAACGGAGGUUUGAGCCUUCGACUUUGUAUGUAGCUCUCGCCGCCAUUUUCAUAGCUCGGAAAAUGGCUCGGCUACGGAUGCAAAUGGAUCUGGAUUGAUAGAGCUUCUAUCCCAAUCCAUUUAAAACGGGACAAGUGGAGACGAAAAAAUAAGAUAAAAAUAACAUAUUUCAAAUUCUUCCCGAUCCACUAAGGAAAUUGAGCAGGAGGUGGGAGUACUUUUUCUCCUCUCGAUCUAUUCCGAUUCACUAAAAUUUCGUCAAAAAUCUACUUUUAUCCUAACGCGUCGAGAAUGACAUGAUAAGUGAGGAAUCUGUCAUGAAUCUAUCCGGACCCGUCAAGAAAAAAGGGCGGCAUAGGUCCCCACCUCCCGCCUUCAGAUCCACUCCGUUUGUAUCCAUCCAUAUUCAUGGCCCGAGAUUUUGUCCAUUUGACUUGGUCAAGUCAUUUUAGACCGGACUCGGGUCUAAAAUAGCAAAGAAAAUUUCGGUUCGGGUCUGGUUCGACCCGGACAACUUUAUCCGGCCUACAAUCAGGUCCGGUCCAAUUGUAUAACUAGGCCCGGCCCAAUGUUUGCUUACUAGUCGUUGCAUGAAAUUAGGGUUUGCUUCCUCCCUCCACUCUCUCUCUCUCUCUCUCUCUCUCUCUCCCCCCCCUGCGGUGGAUCAUGGCGGAACAGGUAAAACGCACACUCUUCGUCCUCUACGUUCUCCUUUUCUCCCAUUAAUUGCUCUAUGCAUGCAUCAAUUGCUUACAAAAGUGUUCUUAGUCCAUGUCCCUGAGUAUAUGAAGCAAAUGAUAGGAGAUGGGAACAUAGAGAGGUCAGAAGAGAUGUUGUGAGCUUGAAUUGAGCCCUAUUUAAUGAGUGCUCGAAUGGGUCUUGCUGUAAUUAGUCGAUUAUUCGGAAAGUUUACGCCUUUAUUUUUUGUAUGUAGUGUUAAUUUAGUGUUAGUUUAAAAUGCUACUUGUAGUUAGUUUAAUUUAGUGCUAGUAAAAUACUACUUGUAGUUAUGCAUAGGGAAAAAAAUGCAAUCUUUUCUUAUUUGUAUUUAGAAAAUUUUGUAAUGUGAAAUGCAUCAGACGUGUUUCUCGCUUUGAUCCAUGAUGGACCUGUAGGAAUACUCCAAGACUCCGCCGUUGUCGUUUGUUCAUGUAUCGCAUUAGAUAGAUAUUGUGUUCAUGGAAUACGAUUCAUGUGAAGGAAGCUUCGGACUCGUAUUGUUCGUGGAUUGAGAUCUCUCGUUGUGCUUCUGUAGCUCGGAUGUAGAGCGGUUGGCUGUUAAGCGGCAAGUAAUAUAUCUUAAUUUUUUGCAUCCCAUUUACACAAAGUAGACACCUAGGAUGGAAACUGCUUGUGUAGUUGUUUGAUUUUAGUUUGAGAAUCUUCUCAUCUUAGUAUUUGGAACUAUUGGAAUGGUAUUAUCGUUGUUUCGUUUUGUAUUAAUAAAGCAAGCUCUAGAAGCAUAUAGCUGAUUUAUAAAGGUUAAUAGUUAGUGUUCAUGGGGAAAAGUUUGUUUUUUGAUGGUUUGUAAUUUUUCCUGCAGAAGGCAUUCCUCAAGCAGCCAAAGGUUUUCCUUUGGUGACUUUUUCCUGCUUUCUGUUUGCACAUUUUUUUCAUGGUUUUACGUGUUACGUGCGAUCGUGUUUUAGUGACAAGAUGGUUUGUAGCUCGAAGAAAUCUGGAAAGGGAAAGAGACCUGGCAAGGGUGGAAACCACUUCUCGAAGAACAUUGGGCUGGGAUUCAAGACUCCCGGAGAAGUCAUUGAAGAUAUGAUCAGCUUAUUUUACUUUUGAUAUAAAUUUGGUAAAAGUUUCUUGGAACAUCUGACUAAUCAAAUUUUCUGUCCAUAUUUAUUCAAUGGUUUUGAAUAGUUUACGUUGCAGUGUAACAUUUGUGAUUUAUAUUGAUCAAGUGGCUGGAUUUUCAACAGCAUGUGAUUAUUUUUAUUUUAUGUGCUGUAUUAGUUUGUGUUAAAGUACUCCUCACCAACGCAGCCCUGUUUAUUUUAUUUUAUUUUAUUUUUGCUUGCAGGGACAUGUAUAGAUAAAAAAUGCCCAUUACUGGCACCAUAUCCAUUAGGGGCUGCAUUUGGAUGGCACAUGCCAUAUUGCCAAAAAUGAGUAGAACUAUUAUCGUUCGCAGAAACUACCUCCACUAUGUGAAGAAAUAUUGAAGGCAAGCUAAAUAUCUGCAACUUGAUUUUACUUUGCCUGCAAUUUUAUUAAUGAGUUAGAUGGUAUAUCUCUUUUCUUUCAGGUACAAAAAGAAAUACCCAAAUAUCCCUUCACACAUAUUCCCAUGCUUCCAUGUGAAGGAAGGAGAUCAUGCUAUCAUUGGCCAAUUCCAGUACGCCUCCUAAUGCCCUAAUCUAACAAUCUAGCUAGAUAAUUAACCUUUAUAUAUUUCUAUUGCUCAUUGACUCGCGGAGUAGAGAAACUGCUUUAGAAAGUAGAAGCUUCUAGAAAUCAUGCACUAGGCAAACUAAAAAUCUGCGCUUUUUCUGCGGGGGGGAAGUUGAAUUGAGCUCCUGGGUCCCGAAAGUGGAAGCUCCAGGUUGAAGCUUCUUCUUUUGCUAGAAUGAGUUGCUGUUGAGGAUAUUUUAUCGAAAUAGCUGUUAGUGCUUCUUUGAAUAGCUUUAAUGAGAAAAUACUUAAAUAGAAGUUCCAGCUAGGCCAAGCAGGGCUGUAGUAUGUCGAUCUGUUAAUGAUUUGCCUAUUGUAAAAUUCAUGUGGUUUGAUCAUACAGUAACUUGUUUAUUUAGGUAAUUAUCCAAGACUCUGAGGUUCAAUGUCCUAAAAGUCAUUCCAGCUGGAUUGACAAGCACAGGUGGAAAGAAGGCAUUCGCCACCUCUUGAGGCUGUCAAAUUCCUAUCUAUCCUGCCUAAUUGAGUUGAUAAGUAGUAACUACUACGAGUCUUGCUCUCUUAUUGUGUGCAUAGUGGUUUUUGCUCAAUUCAGUUUUCCUGUUUCCUGGUUUUUCUCUAUGGAUGUGACUAGUGAAAUUAGUUGAAAUUUUAUUUUAUUUUGACUAUUUUCUGUGGUAUUGUGUUGCUAACAUCAGAAGCAACUGAUUUUUCCUUUUACUUUUCUUUAAGUGACAAAUUUAAUCCUUUCCGCGAGGAACGGCAUGUAGAUUCUUUCCAUUUAAAAAUGUGGGAGCACUGAGAGUUACUUCAGAUGUUGAUAUCUUAUUUGUCAUCAUUUUCUACUUUUCAAUUAAGUGUUUAGUGCUGGUACGAAUUUGUAAGCAUACAAGGCAGUGUUGUUAUUGUUGCAUCACUUGAAUUUAAAAUUUCUCUUGGUAUGACCUGUGAUGGUUCAUUAACUACUUAAGUCGUUACCGUUAUGUGUUAACUACUAAAAAAAGAUUUAAAGGGACGAUUUCGUGUUAAAUUAAACUCAUCUUGUUUGAGAGUUGCACCACUCUCUCUGUUUAGCAAAUCACAUGCUUAGAGACUUUGGUCUAAUUUUUAUUCCACCAGAAAAUAUUUGGUAACUUGGUAGGUUGACUGACACCCUCAACUUGAAGAAAAUAUUGUUUGGAAGGCAUGUUAUCUAUCCUUGUGCUUCAAGUGCAUCUUUAGGGUUUGGACAUUCCUUAUUUGGAAACAUGAUCUAACUAUUCUAAUACCCUUCUCACCUCUCUCUCUUUGUCCCUCUCUCUCAUCCAUUCCAACAGCAUGAGCCACAAAGGAACUUACCUUUGGGCUCUAUUUGCAUCUCUUGCAUCUUUGCUCUCUACACAACUCAUAAUACAAAAUCCACCAUAUUUGAAACUCUUCUCCAUUUUCACGACAUUCGUCGAACCACCCGAUCUUGUUUCUAUUACAGUAGAGAGCUCCCACCACCUCCGCCGCCGCCACCACCACCGCAAGCGACCUGUGUCCAACAGCACAAUCUGCGAUGAUUUUCUCCCUGACUUUCCCCCGUCGGACACGAACAUGACUUCCUACUUAUGUGUCGACCGCAACGGCUGCUGCAACUUCACGACGGUGCAAUCGGCGGUCAAUGCGGUCGCUGACUUUAGUCCAAAGAGGACCAUCAUAUGGAUCAACAAGGGAAUUUACUAGUAAGCUACGUUCCUAGUUUUCCUUCAAGAGAGAAUGAUUGUCCAUAUUCAUCCUUCACAGCUAGUAGAGCUAAAUGUGUGUUUAGUGAGAAGGUUAUGAUCUUGAAGACAAAACCCAACAUCACAUUUCAAGGGCAAGGGAUGGACCUGACGGCGAUCGCGUGGAAUGACACGGCCAACUCCUCGCACGGCACUUUCUACAGCGCAUCGGUCACCGUAUACGCAGCAAACUUUGUGGCAAAAAACAUAAGUUUCAUUGUACAUACUAGAAUUAACACCCUUCAUAUAUUCUUGCAAUAGUUGGGCAACUAACAAAGUAAAAAACUUGCUUGCUUCUCGGCAUGUUUGUUGUACCAGAAUGUGGCCCCCAUACCGAACCCGGGCGAUUUCGGAGCGCAAGCCGUGGCAAUUAGGGUCGCAGGCGAUCAAGCCGCCUUCUGGGGUUGCGGGUUCUUCGGAGCUCAGGAUACUCUCCAUGAUGAUGGAGGUAGACAUUACUACAAGGAAUGCUUCAUCCAAGGCUCAAUUGAUUUCAUCUUUGGGGAUGCUAGAUCCUUGUAUGAGGUAAGUUCUACCACUAAAUUUUGAGCCUAAUUGGUAAUGUUCAUAACCAAUCUAACAAACCUUUCUCAGUGUAAUAACAAUCUAUUAGUCGAUGGCGUUUUCCAGUCACACUCGCAAUCGGGUUCGUCGUUGACAGUUGGAUUAAGUGUGAUUUGGCUCUGAUCAAACUAUGAAGAUGGGUAAUUGUGUCCAAACACUAGUUUAAUUUGAUCACAAGGGUUAGUGUGACAAACUUUGGAUAAUGUUAAACUCCAAAUUGCAUGUUCCUUUCCUUUUCAGCUGACUCUUGUACCCUCUAAGGGACAAAAGAUCCUUGUAGGGCCUUCUUUGGUUACUUAAGCUUUUGCAAAGAUAUUUUUUGAAAAGGGAGGCGAAAAAAGCAAUUCCUCUUCACGGCUCCACACUUUAUUUGCUAGAUGUUUGACAGUAGAAGUAGAAGUUUUAAAUAAGAUGUCUACUUUAUAUCACAGCAAAGCCUCAUAUUGUUUUUUUUUUUUUGGUUUGUCAUGUUUUUAGCCGCUGUUUUUUACGUUAGAAACCGCUGUUUUUUACGUUAGAAAAGUUCUUCUAGAAGCCUGGCUAGAGAAAAAUGAAAAUAUUGAAGAAGAAUCUCUGCUUGCUGCAACUUGUGACUCAGGAUUGCAGGCUGAUCUCCAUAGCCUCACCGGUGCCGGCCGGAGUGAGGUUCAUAAACGGCGUGGUGACCGCGCACGGCCGAACGUCCGGCGACGAGAACACGGGCUUCGUGUUCGUGAAGUGUAGCAUCGGAGGGACGGGCCAAAUAUGGUUAGGCAGAGCCUGGAGGCCUUACGCCCGCGUCGUCUUCGCCUACACCUCCAUGUCCGACAUCAUCGCCCCCGAAGGGUGGAACGACUUCAACGAUCCCGCGAGAGAUCAGUAAGAAUUCGAAACCACGAUACAUAUACACGUAUAUAUACAUAUUGCAAACAACCUUGCGCGAAAUAUACGACUGCUUUUUUGGUUUCCGAAAGUAUUGUAGCUCAAUUUGUACCUUUACAUACGGCAAAAAACAUCCAAAUUUUUAGUAAGUGUACAAAUAUAAUGAAAAAUGAAAGCCUCAUGGAAUUUGGAUUAAAUGAAACUCUUUUUUUUUAAAAAAUAAUUUUUAAUGUUAACAGGAGCAUCUUUUUUGGUGAGUACAAGUGCAGUGGUGAUGGUGCAAAUUUGACCAUGAGAGUUCCUUAUGUUCAAAAGCUCAAUGACACACAAGCUUCUCCCUUCCUCAAUAUUUCUUUCAUUGAUGGAGACAAAUGGUUGCUACCUUUUGGUAAUUAAAACCUAUAAUUUAAUACUAAAUACACCAUAAAUUAAACAAAUGUUAUAUAAUAAAUAACACUCUUUUACUAUUUAGUUUAAUGAGGGCUAGAGAGAGAGAGAGAGAGAGAGAGAGAGAGAGAGAGAGAGGGUACUUCCACAUAUUCCUCUUUCUUAAUAUAAAACUUAAAUGGAUAUUAAACAUACAAAAGAAAUUCACAUAAAUGUGCACAUGUACCACUUUGUUUGCAAAAAAAAAAAAGAAAAAAAAAAGUGAAUAUUACUUUGAAUUAUUUGUGUUUUGUCAUAUUCUUUUUGAAGCACACUUGUGCAUGAUUAGUUUGAUUUUUGGAGCAACUUAUGCUUAAUCUAGAAGCGCUUUUCCGAAGGGCUCAAAUUGAACGUGGACUGAGAAAUUGGACCAAAGAAAAGUCAUCCAAUUUAUAUGGGAGUAAUAAUAACGUAAGAAGACUUAAAUGCAUUAACAAGUGGUCACCUAAAGGAAUUAUUAAGUCAACUCUCUUAAUCUUAUUUGCUAUUUAAAGUUUUAAACACCACCGUGCUCUUCAUGGCACUGAGAUUUGUGUACCAACAAUGGCAACGAUGCAUGCGGAUGUUGACUUGACCAAGUUUGAAGAGGACCAUGAUCUUACUGUUCUAAACCUCAAAAAGAAUAAGUAAUUAUUCGAAUAUUCUCGCUUCGAGCCAAAUGUAUGCGUACAUGUGACCCACGAUCAUAUCAAAAUAAGAACAAAAAUCAAUACAAGGAGGGUCUGUUUGGUCUUGUUGUAGAUUGCAGUGCAGUCGAAACAAAGGAUUAAGAUGAAACAUUAUAGUACGGUCGUCGUAAGUUUAUCCUCUCUACGACACAAUGCAAAUACAGAACUAGAGCUUCUGCGUUCGAUCUUAAUACCUCAUUUUUUAGCCACCGAACUUUUCUACUUGCUAAAAGCUAACUUUAGAGUAAUCACUAUUAUGGAGUUUCAUUCUUUUCCAAUAAUAAAUGUUGUUUUAAAUAGUUUUUUUUUUUUUUUUUUUUUUUUUUUUUUUUUUUUUUUUUUUUUUGCAGCGAAGAAAGAGAAUUGCUAUUUGUUGCAUUGAAUCUUAUGGUAAUAAAUGGCUAAAUAAUGUUAUUUAUUUGCAUCAUUAAAACAUCGAUCACAAAUUGUUAUUAUAGAUAAAAUUAUUAUAGUGAAUGUAAUAUGGUAUCAGAAACAGUCCUAAUCGCAAUUCUCUUUUUAGUAGUCAAAUCUCUAUCCAAUACCUCUGCUCGUUUAUUCCAUGUAGGUUGCAUGGUUCACAUGAAAGAACCUGGUUUCUAAUUUAUUACACGUUCUCUAUGAAUUUGCUGGACCAGUUAAAAUGCGCCAUGUGUUGUUUUGUGUGUGGCCUGGUCUAUAGACCGGGUCUAGGCAAUGUUAGGAACACCCAUUACAAGGUGGCGUGUUACGUGCGUAUAGGAGUAAACUCAGAGGCCAGGAAUUGAUCCCGUGUGAGCACAAUUUUGGAAUUUAUUAUAGCAGGUGAUCCGCUCGUAAUAAUAAUUUAUUAGUUUAAAAUAUUUAAUUUUAAUUAUUACUAAUAUGAUUAAUGAUUUUUAUGUUUUUAAUCUUUGUUUUCAUUCGAUACGCGAUUAUUCAGCUAUCACAUUUAAUUUUUGGUCCUUCUUUAUGGCUGAUUUUUCAUAUAAGCGUAAUAUCAAAAUUUUAAUCUCCCAUCUCCCUUACAUGUGGGCGUUGAGUCAAAGGGUUAGAACCCGUGAUUGAAUAAUGAGUUUCAAUUCACUAUUUUUCAAAAAGAGGAGAAAAAAUCUGAGUAAAAUAUCUGAACAAUUACAAACAUAUUCUACAACAUUUAGCGGAGACGUAUAAAACACAAAACAACAAGUGAACAUAAAAACCGACCGUCAUAGUUGGUGCCUGAGAGAUUCCAAAUUCGAAUACUAAUUGAUUUACAUUCUCAGCUAAGUUUAUUUCUAAGCCUCCGUUUGGUUCGGGGUUAAGGAAAAAGUAGCUAUACCAGGGAUAGGGUUAAGUUCAGGGUUAAAGUGGUGUUAAAAUUUUUUUGUGUUUGGUUGGAAUAGGUGGGAUAAAAAGAUAAUGAUUGAUAAAUAAGAAAAAAGGUGAGGGCUCGGGAUGCGUGCGGGGUUAAAGUUGGGAAGGGGAGUGGGGUUAAUGAUUGAUAAAGAAGAAAAAGGUGAGAGCUCGGGAUGCGUGCGGGGUUAAAGUUGGGAAGGGGGUGGGGUUAGUAAACCCCACCCUUUUUUCAUGGUGUUUGGGUAUAAAUUGGGGGUUAAGAGGUUAUUCCACCCCUUAACCCCCAACCAAACGGGGGCUAAAAGAAAUAAACGAAACGACCAACUUAUUCAAUCCAACCACAAGGAAAAAACCAAAUUGGUAUAUAGCUCUAGUAAAACUUUUAUCUCCCCAAAAAAACACACAAAAAUAAAACAAAGGGGAAAAAAAACAAUCUAAAGUGCUCGUCAACAUCAAACUCUACUGUUCUAGUCGAAACACGACAAGCGUGAUUUUGACUUUGACACCGCGCGAUGCCAACUACGUGGACCCCACUUUCUCCACUCAUUAAAUUCAUCCCCUUCGCGCACGUUUAUAAUAAUAUCAUCAUAAAAAAAAAAAAAAAAAACACAUAAAGUUGUUCUAGAAAGAUUCCUUACGACUUCUUCUUCUUCUUCUUCUGAAAUAAGUAAUAUAACACCGUAGAGAAAACAAAAAAAUAAAAUAAAAUAAAAUAAAAAUAUUUACAUGUGUUGUUGAUAAUGGGCUCGAUCCCCUCCUUAAUUAUCUCUCUCUAACCCAAAAUAAAUUGGAUAUUGCAUGCAUUUAUAAUAUCUAAUUAAGAGAAGUACCCGUCGACUCUGCUAUUAGCGGAGGGCGCCGUCGUCUUCGGCAGCAUCAUCUGAUCGUGCACGCCGUCGAAGACGAAUCCUUCGCUCAUCUCCGCCUGCGAUGCCGACGACACGCUACCGCCACCGCUGUAGCCAUGAACAUAUAUAUCAUCUUGAUCAUUUUUACCACCCGUGUUACUAUUAUUAUUAUUAUUAUUGUUGUUGUUGUUGUUGUUGUUGUUAUUAUUAUUACUACUAUUGUAGAGAUCUUGGGUGAACACAGGUCGGCUGUAGUGGAACUGGUCCAUGUAGGAGGGCUGCUGCUGCUGCUGCAUGUGGCCGAAGGAGACGACGGUGGGGGCGGGCCGAGCCGAAUCGCCGAACAUGGGCCCGAAGUUGAUGACGGGCCCGGCGGUCGGGGGGAGGUGGGCCGGGGGGCCGGACGGGAUGCCGGUGAACUGCUGCACCAUGGCGCGGAAGUUGGCGGUGUCGGUGUUGAGCAGCGUCGUCGGGGCCCGACGCGAGGCCCGCGACCGCCUGCGGGCCGUCUUCCCGGCCCGGCCCAUUUGCGGCCCACAACCGGCGGCGGAGGCGGUGGCGGCGGAGGCUGCUGCAGCGGCGGUCGUCACGACGGUCGACUCGGCCGGGCCGUGCCCGAACAUGGCCGACGUCGAGGAAGGAUGCGAGCCGAGAGCGUAGAAGUGGGCCCAAUCCGUAGCAUCGCCACUCAUAGCCAUAAAAAUUGAUUAGAUUAAUAAUAAAAUUUGAACCGAAGUAAGCUCGAGCUAAACGAGGGUGGGGGAGGAGAAGGGGAUGUAUGGGAGAUGGUAUAAAUAGAUGGAUUUGGAGAGAGUCAAAAAGAACGGAGUUUCACGAGGGUCGUUUUCGGCCGUCGGAUGGCCGAGUGGGGGGAGAUGGAGGGCGGAUGACGCGCCACGUGGAGAAGCGCGGCGCUUCUCGAAGGAAGGGACGAGGAAGGGUCGUUGGAGACAAUUCUUGAUGACGUGGCGGGUCGGGGCGGCUACGUCAUCUUGAGUUGAGGGUGUUGACUUGUUGACCGGGUGUUGCUUCGGUUUCGGGGGGUUGUUUGGCUCCGCUUAAUUAUUAAUUAAUUAAUUAACCCCAACAAUUAUUGCUGACGCCCACACCCCUGCAUAUGUGGUUAGUUGUUACGUACUACUAAAUUAUAUAAAUUAUUAUAAUUAUGCGAAAUAACUAUUUUCUCUACGGGCUUAAAUUAUUAGAGAAUAAUAUUUUUAUAUUUUAUCUACAAUACAUAGUACACUGCUUUUUUUAAAAAAAAAUAAUAAAAUCUGUCUUUUUUUUAAAAAAAAAUAAAUGCUAUCCUAGUGUUUGUUUAAAAUAUCAGAAUAAGAAUUAAUUAAAUUUUGCUUAGAUGAAGAGACGCUAAAAAUUACGUGUUAUUCUAAACAUUGCAUCUCAUUUUAAACGUUCAAAUGUUAAUAUUAUUGGCUUGAUUUGUUAUAUACCAAAACAACAAAUUGUUUUGAUAGAAAAUGAGCUUCACAUGAAAAAAAAAAAAAAAAAAAAAAACAAAGCAAUUGCCAACUUAUUAUUAUUUAAAAAAAAAACAUUUUUUUUUCAUAUUCUCUUUUGAAUUUUCUUUCACGUGCCAAAUGUGAAAGGGCUAGAUGCCAAUUGUGGCGGCAAAGGCGGUUUUUGAGCAAAUUACCGCCUGCUCCCGGUGCGCCAAAUUAUUUAUAGACCGCUAAUUAUACUUAUUCAUAAGUGUUGUAACAUACAGAAACAAAUCCGACCAAUAUGAUUUACAAUAUCUAAAAAGUUUAGACAUAAAAAACUACGUGCGCACAAAGUUCAGAAAGGGAUAUAACUCGACCUUCCAAAUGCUGCAAAACAUAUCGGAUGAAUUAGAUUUUAAUUUUAAAAAUUUAUAAUUAGAUAUAUUUUUGUACUGCAACACUUCUCAUCAAAAGGAAGCAUCCAAGAAAUGCUUCCUCCUCUAGUUGAUAGCAAUGUUGUGAUGAAUCAUGAAUAUUGUUAGGUGUAUUCACAUGCCCUGUCAUUUUCAAGUUAGCUAGGAUAAAUAGAGACAUAAGAUUCUCUCAUCCCUUCUAAUUCCUCUCAAUUAACUUAACCAUUUUUUCUUACUACAUUAGAAUUAGAAUUGCAACAUUAUUUUUCCUCCUAAUAUAUAUAUAUAUAUAUAUAUAUAUAUAUAUAUAGANUAUAUAUAUAUAUAUAUAUAUAUAUAUAUAUAUAUAUAUAUGAGUGAGACUACUAUGCUAUCGGAAGCACGGAGCCUUCCGUGCUUCCAGCUCGUUUUCGAUGUUGCGACUUUCGAAUCGUCGAUCGGCUCCGUUAAAGUUGAUCUAGAGUAUUUGGAGUACCUAAAAAAUAAAUUUUAUUAUUUUUCCGUAUCAUUUGCCUAGUGAUCGAAUGAGCUCAAAAUCAACAAAUUUCAAUGGCCGUAGUGAGCCAUUUGUAAGUUUAACGGUAUAGAAAUAUCCAAAUCACGUGAAAUUUUGAUAGAAAAUUCUUUAUACUAUAUAAAACAAGAUCAAUAUCUUUGAUUUAAAAUUUUAAUGUCAUAUUAUUACAUUUUGUAAGAUUUUUAUUUUCAGUCGUUAACUUUGAGCCCCUUCAUUCACUAGACAAAUGAUAUCGUAAAAUCAUAAAAUUUAUUUUCUAGAUACUUCAAAUACUCUAGAUCAAAUUUAAUAGAGUCGAUCGAUGAUUCGAAAGUCCCAACAUCGAAAACGAGCUGGAAGCACGAAAGGCUCUGUGCUUUCGAUAGCAUAGUAGCCUCACUAUAUAUAUAUAUAUAUAUUUUAUUAUUAUUAUUAUUAAAUAUUUUCUCCAUGGUAGGUAGUUUGAUAGGUUGAGAUCGCUCAAAUCAAUAAAUUUUAUUAUAUAUUUUAUUUGCUUCUAGCCUUCUGGGGUAGGUGAAGCUUGAAGAUUCCCAAAAAUUUUGAUUGAAUAUAAAAGCUCCAGGUGGAGCUACAUUAGGAUCUAUUAAUAAUUAAGGUUAGGUAUUCAUUCGUACGCCAACAACAGUUCAUAUGAAAUUAUAAAUAAUAAAGGCAUAACUUAAUAUUUGAUAUUUACCAACGAAUUUAACGAAUUUUAAAAGAUCUAAUCAAUAUUUUUCUUAUAUCCUGUCAAAUCAGUCUCUCCCUCGUAUUAUUAAUUUGUGUUUUAACAAAUAUAUAUGGUGCGAUGAUAUUAUUAGAUCUUUACGUGUAAACAAUAACUCAUAUAAAAGAAAAGACAAAAAUUUGAUAUUUGAUAUUUGAUAGUAAUAUAUCUUUAGAUCCGAGCUUAGUUAAUUUUAAAAGUUUUAAUUAGUAUUAUUAUUAUUAACUUUGUUUGAAACCUAUAAAAGCUUUUUAAGUUGAUAAAUAACCCCAACUUUUUGCCGGAAUAAAGAGAACAUUGCAUGUAAUUUUCCCACUAUCUAGCCAUGUAAAGGUCAAGUCAAAUUAGUGGGCGUUCUCAUCACUUAGCCUAUGAAAGAGACAAGGUGAUAGUAACGCACAAAACUAUGCAUAUGAAUAGAGCACAUGCUUAAUGAAUCUACCCUACAUCAUAUUAUUAUUAUUAUUAUUAUUAUCCCCCCACCAUUUUCCUUUCUUUUUUUCUUAAAAAAAAUACUAGAAAAUUAAUUAAUUAAUUAAAUUAAAUUCUCCUCUUUGUACACUCAAACACGUCACUUAUAUUGAUCACUACAUUAAUUGGAAGGUACUUUUGUGGAGUUGUGUCCCAUAUUUUCACACCCAAAGCUUAAUUAACACAUCAUGAUGUAGGUGUCGAAGAGUACUAUAUGAUGACUAAAUAUAUCCUUUUCCCAGUGUGUUUUGAUACGCCCAUAUCUUGUCUCACAUCUCAUUAAUCUAUCCAUAUCCUUAUCUUCGAUGAUUAAGCCAUCCAAAAUAGAGCUUGAGGUACUUAGUUUAUUUAUUUUUUCAGAAAUGAACUUAGCUAAAAAUGUAAAACAAUUAAAUUUCGUAUUUAGAACUUAAGAUAUCAACUAUUAAAUUUUUUAUCACCUCCGUUAAAAAACGCUCGAUGAUAUGAAUAUAAAGCUUUUAACUCUUUUUUUUUUCUAAAAAUACUGUUCAAACUUCUCUUAGUAUUUAGUUUUUAGAUGCGGCAAAAAGUAUCAGAAGCAUUGAUUAUUUCUGCUUUUUGAUUAAUUCUAGACGCUCAUUUAUCAAUAAUAGAAUGUAUAAACUCUAGGUUCUUUACUUAACAUUCCGUUAUUACUCUAAUUAUCAAAUAUUAAAGAAUUUGUGCUAAUGCAAACUUUUUUUUUUUUUUAAGGAGAAAGAUAACAUUCUAUUCGUUUCAAACCACUGGUCGUCUAGUUGAUAAAAUACUUAAAUAUAUUUUUGGAAUGGGUUAAAAUAAAAAAAAAAUAAAUGUUGGCUCAAGAGUCUGCAUGGCGCGGCUCGGCUCGGCUCGGCUCGGCGCGCUCCAUUGGAGCAAGAAUAGUAAGAACCGGACGAAGAGGUGACGUAGCGAAUGACGUGGAAUGGGGGUCAAAGGAGGACCGAAUAUUUUAUUAUUAAAUUAUAAUAAUUACUCAAUUAAUUUAUUUACUAUAUAUCAAAUCCGAGGAUUCGAAGGUUAUUAUAUUUUAAUAUUAUUUUAUUAAUAUAUUAAUAUUAAAUUAAAGUUGAAAGGGAUCGCUUUGGUUAUUAGGGGUUUGGUAUUACGUGGGCCCCGCCCGGAUUUGGACCGUUAAGCACGUUUGUGCUUGAUUAGCGGCGAAGGUGAGAUUUAUUGGCUGGACCCGGUCCAAUGGACCGAAACAGGACCAAACGAUUUUCUUUGUUUUUUUGGUGAAAAAUGAAUGGUGACCCCCUCAACUUUAGGCGUUUAUGAAGCUGAUCCCUCAAUUUUUAUGUUUUAUUGGCACCACUAAACUUCUAUUUUUUUUUUACUAGACAUAAAUUUUUAUAGUUAUUAAUCAUUAAUUGGUAUAAUUUUUUUUACUAAAAUAUAAUAAUUGUAGUAAUUAGACAGUGAAAUCACGAAUGAAAUCAAUAUAACCCCUAAUAAUAAAAUAAUUUUGUUAAGUGACUGCAAUCAUAAUUUUUUGUUAAGUGACAUCUCCUUUAACUUUUUAGUUUUUUAAAUUCAAUAAUUAUAGAUAACUAAAUAAAGGGUUUUUGUUAAAUUUAAAUGUUCUUUAGCUAUUAGCUGUUAAUUGAUUAAAUUUUAUUUGUAUAAAAUAAUUUAAACUAUAAAAUUUGAUGAAGUUAAAAUUUCUUUAUCAUUUAGCUAAUAUUAGUCCGGUUAAGUUGUUGAAAUAUGUACUUAGGUGGUUAAUAAUAGGAUUUUAAAAGUUUAAGUGACUACUUAAAUGUAAUUACGGGUAAACUUCAAAUACCAUCCUGUGGUUUCACAGUUUCUCACUUUAGUAUCCUGUGGUUUAAAGUGUAUCAAUUUAAUAUUCUGUGGUUUCAUUUUUCUCUUUUCGUCAGAUUUUUUUCGUUAAAUUAGUGACAAAGUUAAAAUUAAAAGGUAUUAAAGUGAAUAUUUGAUAAAUCUAGGUGUGGUAUCUGAAGUUUUUUGAAUAUAAUUUAACAAAAUAUUAACGGAGGAGCUGACGAAAAGAGAAAAAUGAAACCACAGAAUAUUAAAUUGUAAAAAAAUUAUAUGUGGACCCCACAACCCCCCAAAAUAAGAGAAUAAAUUGAUACACUUUAAACAACAGGGUACUGAAUUGAUACAUUUUAAACUAUGGGAUACUAAAGUGACAACGUGCGAAACCACAGGGUGGUAUUUGAAGUUUAUCCAAAAAAUAAAAACAGAAGGAUGUUCAGCCAAAUACAUGUAUUUCAAGGGAUGUACAUGCAAAAUUCCCCUUCGUCCUCUCUCCCCCGUUGACAAUGAAUAGUUCCCCUUUCUCUUCUCGACCUGCGUCGUGUGUAGAGAGAGAGAGAGAGAGAGAGAGAGAGAUGGAGGAGGCGACGGGAAUGGCGAGGGUGGAGAAGGUGAGGGGGAGAUCGACCGUAACGCGCUGCUUCUCCAAGUACCCUCUCAAGCUAAUCCUCCCCAAAAAGGUGCCCCAAUCACUCCCCCCUCUACUAACCCUAAAACCCCUCCAAUUUCCCCUUCGUUUCCCCCUUCAUUUGUGCACACUCUCGCUCUCUCUCAGGUGGGCUCCGUCCAUGUCGAUGCGGUUUGGAUCUACACUCUCUCCUACGGCGGCGGCAUCGUCUCGGUCGCGAUCUCUUUUAAUUUUGUUGUUAUUGUGCAGUUUAUGGAUUUUAUGUUGUUUUUUUCAGUGUAAAAAUGUGUGGAAAUGAAUUAUACUGUGUUAGUCUUUAAGAAGUUUUGAUUUUGCUGUGUAAUUUGUUUAAAAUUUCGAUUUUGUUGGGUAAUUCGCUUGAUUUGAGCAAUUUGUGGAUCUCUUAUUAUAAAAUUUGGGUUUGGGGUUUAGGGUUUAUGGAUCUUAGUUUUUUUUUUUUUUUUUUGAGAGAGAGAGAUAGAUAGCACGCUACCGCUUCGUUUAUUUCAUUUAGAAAUAAACUUAAAUGGAAAUGUGAAUCGGAUUCGAACUUGGGUCUCGGGUACCAACCACCAAGCCUUUUGCCACUUGCUCUAGGGACGGUCGGUUAUGGAUCUUAGUUGUUAUUGUGCAAUUUAUGGUUCUUAUGUAGGUUUUUUAGUGUAAGUUGUUUUUUAGUGUAAACAUGUGUGGACAAGUCGUUUUUUAGUGUAAAAAUGUGUGGACAAUUUGGUUUCUAGUGUAAAAAUUUGUGGACAUGAAUUAUACCAUGUUAAUGUUUUGAGCCGACUAGUUGGUCAUUGUCAAAAUUUAAUUUUUGAUCCGACUAGUUGGUCAUUGUCAAAAUUUAAUUUUUGAUGUUGAAUUUCAGGGAGAUCGAGUUUCGUGUCGGAUAAGCGUCGGUGACGGGUGCACGGCGGCUAUGACAACUCAAGCUUCAACAAAGGUUUCACCCUUUAGUACUCUUCCCAUAUUUCUGUAUUUCAUUCGUUAUGGCUUGAGAUCAGCGAAGGUUUUGCUUAUGAUUAAAUACUAGCAAAUUCUGUACCUGCAUUAUCUCGCUCCACAGAAUGGUAAUCUGAUUGUGUUAGUUGCGAAAAUCUAAUAUGCGAGAUGUUUUAAACUUCGAUAACAUUUGCAAUAACAGGUAUACAAGUCUGUGGAUUCAAAGUGCUCCGAGCAGAUCUUGGCGGUAAAGUUACUCUUGAACAUGUUAACUUCAUACCAUUCUUGUUCAUGUUUGAUCAUAUAAUAGCUGAACCUGCAAAUUCACAAAUUGUUACAAAUUUUAUUAUUCAAUAUAUGGUAACGAAAUUAAAGGUUUUGUAAUAGAUGAACAUAACCGGUACUUCCGCUGUAUCAAAUGACUAUGGGCAUAACCGUAUGUUGGUGUUAUGAAAAUCGAAAAGUGUUGUUAACUCAGAAAAAGUAACCGAUCCUUCGUGGUAGAUGUUUAUUGCUACAUCAUCCAAAAAAUUUUCAUUUCCUAAAUGCUAUUUCAGAAAAGAAGUGAAUUCUGAGACACACCAAUAUACUUGUUCUGCGCAGUAGGCUAGAAUUGGAAAAGAUGCGCUUCUCGCGGUUAUUCCAGAUCCUGUGACCUGCUUCUCAACUGCUCGAUACUCCCAGAAGCAAGUAUUCAGACUCUUUUCGGAUUCAAAUUUGGUUGUUGUUGAUUGGAUUACCAGUGGGCGUCACGAAAGCGGAGAAAAAUGGGACUUUGAGCACUACAGGAGUACCAAUCACAUUUUCUUAGAAGAAGAACAACCGCUUUUUCUCGACUCGGUAGUGCUUCCCCUUGUCUUGUGUUUGUAGUGCAGAUUUUUUAUCUCUGGUUAUUUGUAUUUCAUUUACUAUUUUGUACUUUUGAAAAAGGCCAACCAUCACAAUUUUAUUCGGUAGAGAAUAAAAGAAAAAAGAAAAAGGAAGAACACUAUAUUUGUGGUUCUUUUUCCUUUCAGCUUUGUAAUACAAAUUGAAUUUUACAUUUAACAGGUUGUACUAGAACAAAAAUCGAGUGUCAGUAUCGCUGAAAGGAUGCAGCAAUACCAUGUAAUUGCGAUGGUCGUAAUCCUGGGGUAAGUUCUUCUCUUCUGAUUCAAUUUUAAUCUAUCUGUGGCGAAGGUAUAUGAAAAUUUUAUUUGAAUAUGAAAUUUAAAAAACAGCAAAAUCGUAAGGAGAUAUCAUGAUGGCUCCAGCAACAUUCAAACAUUUAUUGAUAUUUUAAUUCAAAAAUAUUUAUAUAAAUUCGAUGCCAGAUAUUUCUUAUACAACUCAAAUCCUUAAACAACCAUUUAAGGUAAUUCUCCCGAAACCAGUGAAUGAAUUAAGCAGAUUGAGAAGAUGUUUCAUUAUGAUGGGUUCCAAAUUUUACGAACUAAAUUUUGUAGGCCAAGGCUAAAGCAUACUCAGAAUCAAAUACAAGAUGAAGUGAAGAAGAUGAUGUCCGGGCAAUUCCGACUUCCUACGUCCACUUCAGGCCGUUAUGCGAGAUCAGAAUCCAAACAUUGCCAAAUACCGCCACCUUUUAUCGCCUCUUGCAGUUCUUUCGGGCCUCAGGUAUGUUCCUAUUGUGAGGGUCUUAUACAUCGAUUUUACUAUAGGCCCGUUCUGGCACCCAGGAUUAGAUUGCAUCGUUAUGUUAGAUGAGAGGGAGGGUUUAGCGACCCAGAAAUGUUGAGGAUCAUCAUGAGUAGGGGUAGGUCCGAGAUGCUAUAGGAUUUUAAAAAUCCAAUCUCAACUUCCCAAAUGGGAUUUCGAUAGUCCCAUUCCCGGUAGGAUUAUUUGACAUGACGAGGUUCGAUAAUCUCAAACCCUCACGACUCUUGACGCCUUCGAGCUACUAAACCCGUCUUUUCACCCAACAUUUACAGAAGCAUAUUUCAUGGUCUUACUUUCGCAAUUUGUAACAUAUAAAUUCCUUCAGCUUAUGCUUAUGGUGUAACACAGGCAGUCGGCUUGGUGAUUCGAGUAGCGGCAACGACCACAGAGUCCGUAUACAUGUUCUUAAGGCAUCAUCUUGCUUCAUUGGAGCCAUUUCUGGGAGUUGCACCGUAUUUCCAAUCGGGACGAUGAAUGCCUGUUCGAUUUCAGCGCGAACCCGGGUCGAGUUGCGUUUGUGACGGUCGCAAGAUGGCGCGCGUUUCAGCGUCUGAAGACGACCAUUUUUCUUGCCUUUUAUUAUUUAAAUAUCUUUUAAGCUGUUGAAGUUCCUGCUGUGUAUUUAUUGGAAGGAAUUUGUUUUCUUUCACAGUAUAUAAUUUCGUUCAAAUUAAAGUUUUCCAGUUCGAUAUUAGGCGAAUCUAAUUUCGAAUAUUAACAAAUGGCUUUGUGAACUAACUCUUUAAUUAUCAGAUCUUACAGGUUUCUCCGUCUUUUUAUUUUAAUGAAUUUUGGAUUUUUGAGUAUAUCUGAACUUUUCAAUGCAUGAAAUCAGAUUGAAAUAAAUUUAACAUUCACAGGAAAAGAAAGGAGAAAACAUUAAUUCCAACAACUAAGAAAACAAGUUUACAAGCUACACAUCCAAUUCUUGGUGUUUAUUCCCUUAAAACAAGUAUUGCACACUGAAACCAACAUAACUAAAAUUUGGUUCCACAUAGUUUACAAUUACAUCCACUGCGUCAACAAACUCAACUCGCAAAAAAAAAAAGGCGAAAGAGAGCCAAACCGCAUAACAUAAACCUAACAGCACUCAAAACUAUUUCUCACAGAAUCAUAUAGAGCAUGGUUAAAAUGAAACUAUUCCUUGCACAAUCUCUAAACCCUAGAAUGUAAUUUCGCUCGGUGCAUGAAACGUCCUCCCACGGCAUAUGGCUUCGAGGUUUUCUCCGGUAUACGAGCAAAGAGGAGAAAUUUCUACACCUGCAAGUGAAAUACUUACAUCAGAUACUGCAACUUAGUUUUAUCACAAAAUGGAAAAGAAAAUAAUAAUAAUAAUAAUAAUAAUAUGCACACAAUUAUGACUUAGUUAAGAGCAAUUUAUAUUCUACCUGUUAAAUAUAGUGGCACAGAGUGAGUAAUGAAGCCACCUGCGGCAACUACCCAGCGACUGUGGAGGCGUAGAAGCAUCAACCGAGCGCUGUCGGGGGUGUCGUAAGUGGCACCAUUAGCAUUCUUGACCGGUGCGAAUUCCUCCUCCCUCAAUACCUGGUUUUUUUUUUUUUUUUUUCAAAUUUUAAUUCAAUAAAAUUCCAAAAUCGUGGCGAAUGAACGGAGAACUGGUUCUUAAGUUUCGAUCUCAGUGAAAAAUUAGUCAAAUGCUCAUGAUCGAAGUAGUUUACAUGAAGGGAAAUGUCGUUGUUACCUCAAAAAGUGCUGUCGAUGGAGAGUAAGCAAAAGCAUCAAAUAUAAACUGCUCGAGCUUUAAGCCGGCGGUAUAUCCAUGGAUUGAAGGAAUCUUCUUCUCCGCUAGGUGGUAUCUGUCAUCGAAUGUCGGAUAUAUAACGAGAGUAUAAGAAUGUAGCGACCAAACAUAUUUAUAACACCAAUUUGCGCGGCACGCGCGGCGUAAUGAAAACAAGAAGCAUGGACAACAAUUACUAGAUGGUACCAAAUAUGAAAGUAUACGAAAGCUGAAUUGCAAUGUAAACACAACGAAAUGACUAGAAACUAACAUGCUGUCCUUUUCGAGGCCGCUGGCUACUUGAUUCAGGAAAUCCAGAGUAAACAUAUGUAAGCAUACCUACAAUAAAUGUUCGAGAAAUGAAUAAGCAUAGAUGCAUAUAAUGAGUGAGAGAAAGAAGCACUUUAGAAGGAAACAUGACAAGCUAAAAGUAAUUCAAUAUAAAGAGAUGAAUACUGGAAAGCGCGAAAAAAUGGAAUGAGAAUAUGAAAAUAUUUACAUUACUCCAGCAAAAGCGAAGGCGGCCGGUUAUCUGAUUGAUCUCAGAAGCCAUUGACUGCUCCAUUUCACUAUAUUCAACCACAGUGAGGGGCCCACCUCUGCCACGUUGGACAAACACCCCGACUUUCUCUUGCGGAUACGCCUGGUUAAGUAACCAUAUUUUCGUGAACCAAGUAAUAAAUUACGUAUACUUUUCUCGAAAGAAAAGGAUAACGAAUAUAAUUCCCCAAAUAUCGAAAUAGGUAGAAUAGUACAUAUACGCAGAUGAGUGUAUAGCCAAGCGGAUAAUAAGAAGUGGCGUAGAAAACCUCGAAAGUUUUUUUUUCCCCCUUAACGGAGUACUGGAAACAUAUAAAGUUUAGCCGUCUUAAGUAAAACAAGCAAGAAAUGGCUGUCCAAAGUGAAAAGUAUAUCAAACUCAAAUUGCAACCCUGUUACAAAAGUAAAGUUCAUGCAGAGAAUGGUCUCCAAAAUGAAAUAUACAGAAAAUAUUUUACCUUCCUUACAACUUUCGCUGCGGCAGCUACACCUUUAUCAAUAAAAUACCCCAAAAAUGUCGGAUCUGCAACACGGACCUGCCCUCUGGAAGUUAAUCCGUAAAAAAAAAGGGAAACAGCGGAAGUGAGAUUUUAUAGUUGGGGAAUUUCUUACAAGUGCAUUAUCAACUCCAUAACAGUCCACAUAUUUCACACCCCUCAUGGCCAUAUCUUCCAACAGUCUUGAAGAUUUUAAAGCUGUACAGGAAUUUUUUUUUAAAAAAAAGACAAAACUUGAUAUGAUGCAGCAAUCCAUAACUUGUAAAAGAACAUCUUCGUCAUUUAACAGGCAUACCAGAAUAUACCCCUCCAUUUCCAUCAGGAGCCUUAGCUACCUGCUUUGAGAAAAUGUGUUUGGAUUAGUAAAAAAAAAAAAAAAGUGGUCGGCGCAUCUAUAAAUUUGUGACCCGCUAUACACAAAUAAAUACAACAUUUGAUAGGAAAAAUUAUAUCACGUUAUGAGAUUUCUUUAUAAAAGGUAAAUAAAAAUGUAAACGGAAAAAAAGAAAAACAAUACCUUGUAGGGUGUCUCCAUGAUAAAUCGACCGUCACUAGAAACACAGGGGAGAGUGCCUUGCUUGAAAAAGGUCACCUACGGCGAACGAGGGUAAGCCAAAGGCGAUACUUACUCAUAAAACUGAAAUAUUUGUUAAGUUUUUCUGUUCUUUUUACCUGAUCGGGUUCUAAGCCAAAAUACUUAUGGCUUUCAAAGAACUUGCGGGUGGGCUCAUCCGUAAACGGGCUAGUCAUUAUGUACCAAUGAAUGGGAACAAUUCCAGCAGAGCCUGUGAGUAACACAUGCAUUAAGCUACUAAAAAUGAGGGGGAAAAGUAGCGUAAAAGUUGCUGGGAUAUGAAGUAACCAUCAGUGGACUGAGCCGCAAGCUUCUGAACACACAAAAUGCGCUCAGCUUGAAGUUGAAAAAGUGACUUUCCUGAUGGGAGUCCAAUGUCUAAAACAAGGCACAAAUUGAAUAUGAGUUAGUAUUCAAAUCGGUUAUAAAUUGAUAUAUAAGUGAUUUUCUUAGUACGAUAUUCUCAGGUGCAGUAGAUAUUUGAUCUGUAUAUUUGAAUAUGCACACUGGAUAAUUUUUCAUAUAAUAGAGAUUUCUAUUUAGAUCUAAGGUCUAUCCCUCAAUGCACGAACUGAACCGCCAGUAAAAUGCAUAAUAAAUAUGCGGAACUAGCUCAGGACUGAUCUACUUACUGAAACAUCCCUUUGGAUCUGAACUUCCAAGCCGAGUGCCCUGUGCGAAAAUCACAAUUCAAAGCACAAGAACAGUAUUUACACAUUGGUUCUAAGCGAAUUAUAUAUAUAAACGGAUAAGUUAAAUCAAGAGGAGAUUUCCAGGAAAAGACAUGUCUUGUACAAACUGCAGCCUCUAAACAAAAGUGAGAUGAUAGCAAUUAGAAUACCUGACCGCCAGACAAAAGUACAACGGCCAAUUUCCCCUCCGAGACGGCCUUCAAUCCUCUCUUCCACCACCGCUCUCUUUCUUCAGAAGUUCUUUGUUCGACGGUUGAGACGCUCGACUCUGGAACAGGCUCAACCGCGGGCAAUGGAAGGCCUACAUAAACCACAAAUCAAAAGGAAAGGAAAAAAAAAAACACCUCAAAUGUGCGAGGAGAGAGAGGGAGGAAGAAACUCACCUUGGGAUCCAAGUGAGCAUCUGAUAAUCCGGUCGAUCCUAGGAAGAUCCAGGCUCUGAUGCGUACAAUGUGACAAGAAUUACACAUUUUGUGCAUGAGAAAGUCAUCAAGAGCAAUGGAUUACAUGGUUAGAGUGGAUGAAAAUGUGACUUCCUCUUGUUCUCGAGAAAACACUGGAUGUUAUCUACAAUGGCUACAUUGAUCCAACCAAACCUUUCCAUUUCCAACAUUUUUUUCUUUUUUUUUUGAGAGAGAGAACAUUUCACUACCAUAACAUUCAUUGCACUACAACUAAAAUUGCAAUAAGAAUUGGCGAGAUCAAUCAAACUUGCAAAAGAAGACGGGGUCUUCACAGAUCCAAUCAAGUGAAAAAAAAAAAAAACAUUAAAUUUUCACUACCAUAAUGUGAAAAAUGGUAGGACCUAUUACUCAAUGUGAACCACAUGAAGCAACUCGAUCGAAAAGCACACAUUUUUCACACUCGCGUCCAAUCGAAUUAACCAGAAACUACACAAAACGAAGUCACUUCUUCAAAUCCAUUGGAACCCAGUUCCCCAAUUUGACCAAAAAAAAGGGAAUUAUAUCAAAAAGGUCGCUCCUUCAGCUCAAAAUCGAUCGAAUCCAACAGAAAACACCCAAAGGUCGAUCUUUUAGCUCAAAAUCGAUCAAAUUCACCAUAAAACUCCCAGAAAAAAGCCCCGAUCCCCCCGAAUCUACACCAAAUCUCAACGGAUCCAACUCGAGCAAUCGAUUCAGGGGAGGGGCCCGGAAAGCGAAAAAGAAAAAGGGGGUGUGGGGGGGGGGGGAGGGAUUAGGGCAACCACCUCGAUGUCCUUGACGAGGAGGUCACGCUCGUCGGGGGUGAGCUCAUCCCAGAGGGCGAACGCGUCCUCUUGGCCAUAGUCCUUGAGCCUCUCCAGCAGCGCCUGCGGCGGCGGCGGCGGCGGUGUCCCGCCGCGCCGCGCCGCCGCGUCCGAUCCGAUCACGAUCUCCUUCAUCUCCCCCCCUCUCCCUCGAUCGCUCUCGCUGUGGAAACAGUGAAGGGGAGUUGGGGACACAGUGCGCACCAAAGAGAGAGAGAGAGAGAGAGAGAGAGAGAGAGGUGAUGGUGUUGGAGAAUGGAGAGUAUAUUAAUGUAUAUAUGCUUUGGUGGACAAAAAACGUAGGUUUUGUUGAUUUGGUGUGCGAUAUAAAAUAGCGAAACAGUGUGGAUCCCCAAUCACAUAUUGCCACGUGGACAGUUGAUGAACACUUGGUGGGGCCACCUAAAUCUAUCUAGGGAGUCUAUUUUAAAGAAAUUUCUUUUUUUGUUUUUUUUUUUACCAUUAGAGGAGUGCUCUUUGAUCAUUAGAAAAGCGUAGCUUUUAAUUCUUAUUUUUUUUUAUUGUUAUAGUAGCAAAUAAACUAGUUUGACUGUUUGAGGGUUUUUAGCUAAAUAAAAAAAAGAAAAAAUUUUAAAUUUCAUCGUGUAGUUUCGUAUUUUUUUAUUUUAGUAUUCUAUAAUUUAAAGUGUAUCACUUUCGUAUUCUGUAGUUUUAUUUUUUUCUUUCUAUUAUUCUCCCCACUAAUUUUUUCGUUAAAUCAGUGACAAAGUUAAAAUUAAAGAAUACUGAAGUAAAUAUUCGAUAAAUUCUAUGUGAAUAUUUGAAGUUCUUCCACAUAUAAUUUAACGAAAAGUUAACAGAAUGACUGACGAAAAGCGAAAAAUAAACCCACAGGUUACUAAAUUGAUACAUUUUAAACCAUAGGGUAUUAAAAUGAGAAAGUGCAAAACCACAGGAGUUGUAUUUGAAGUUUACCUUAAAAAAAAAAAUUUGGAUGAGAUUUUGAAUCUUCAAGAAUUUUUUUUUUUUUGUGCUGCAUAAAAUUUAUAAAAUAUAAUUUAGAAUUUUCUAAUAUAUAUUUAUUUAUUAGUAUUAUUUAAAUAUUAUUCAAACUUUUUCAUUCCUCUUGCAUCCUACAAUGUUUUAGGAACACUUUUUAGUUCACGCUAUGCAGUAUUUCUGAUUAUUUCUACAGAAUUAAUAAUUUAUUUUUGAUGAAUCAAAUUAUUAUUAAUAUAUUAUAAUAUAAUAUUUGAUUCAAUACAGUAAUAUCGGAUUACUCCGGAUGUAAGAGUUGAUUGGGAGGGGAUGUAGAGAGAGUCAGAGAGUGAGAGGGGGUCGGAGAGAGAAAAAAAGAAUAAAGUACUUCAAAUUUAUAGAAUGGAGAGAUGGAUUAGCAAUGGAGAGAGGUAAUUAUGACUUUAUAGUUGUUCAUAAGUUGCGUCAUAAUUUAUAAUUAGUAAUGCAAGAUACUUAUUUUUUUUCCAGUAAUAUUUUUGGAUAAUUCUAUGCUAUUAGUAAUCUUGUAUAACUGAUAGGAUUACAUGUAGGAUGAAUAAAACGCAGUAAUCUAAAAAAAAAUUCAGCAAAAUUUGGAGUAAUAUUCCUGAUGAAAUAAUAUAAAUCAAACACGUCCUAAAUGUAUUAUUAGCCAAUCAUAUUUUGAGGUGUUAAAGUGGUAAGGCCAUUUCUUAAUGUGUUGAUAAUGUAUUUUUAUACUAUUUUGUAGUAUUUGAGUUUGAACAUUAAUUGGUAUAUUUUCUAACCUUAACACUAAUUGUUAUUUUUUGCGCCUUUCGGAAAUUUUUUUGUAAAUUGUUGAUAUUUUGACAAUCUUAUAUAUGAUUUCAAUUGCGAGCAUAUACCAAUUAAAAUUAUUUAUAUUAUGCAUAUCUUAUUUCAUCGGUCAAUCUGUCCGGUGUCGCUAACACAGCAUUAUUUUUGACCAAAAAUAAAUAUAUUUAAAAAUUUUAUUUCAAAAGUUUCAUUUUGAUUUAGAAUGCCAACAACAACGUCAUUUAUCAAGAGCGAAAAUGCUAUUCCAUUUAUCUAUCAAAAUAGGCCCAAAAAAGACCCUUAUAAAUAUACGUUUUUUUCACUUUUUAUUUCAUAUUUUUCAAAAAUUUAUAUUUUACUCCUUCAAUAUUUCAAGCUGUUGCAUUUAUCCCUUCUCCGUCAGGAUUCCAACACUAUUCUUUCAAUUUCAUAUAAUUUAGGAAAAACUUUAAAUACCUCCUGUUAUUUUGCACAUUCUCACUUUAGUACUCUGUGGUUUAAAAUGUAUCAAGUUAGUACCCUAUGCUUUCGCACUUUCUCAGUUUAGUACUCUGUGGUUUAAAGUGUAUCAAGUUACUACACUGUAGUUUCGCACUCUCUCAUUUUAGUACCCUGUGGUUUAAUAUUUCGUUAAAUUAUAUAUAAAAAAACUUCGAUACCCUACCUAGGUUUAUUGAAUAUUCAUUUUAGUACUCUUUAAUUUUAACUUUGUCACUGAUUUAACGAAAAAAAAAUCCCGAAAUGAAUAAUAAAAAAAAAAUGAGACCACAUGGUACUAACUUGAUACAAAAUGAAACCACAGAGUACUAACUUGAUAUACUUUAAACCACAGGGUAGUAAAGUGAGAAAGCGCGAAAUCCAGGGUACUAACUUGAUACACUUUAAACCGCAGGGUAAUAAAGUGAAAAACUGCGAAACCACAGCGGGGUAUUUGAAGUUUUCCCUAUAAUUUAUACCGAAAAUAUCAUUCAAAAUGACAUAAACAUAUUAAAAUAUUAUUUCUUUUUAUAGAAGAGAUAAUGAUAAUUUGUUCAUUUUACUCUCUUUGUUAAAAUAUUAAAAUGAGAGAACCAUAGGGGGGGUAUUUGAAGUUUUCCUUAUAAUUUAUACCGAAAAUAUCAUUCAAAAUGACAGAAAUAUAUUAAAAUAUUUUUUUUUAUAGAAGAGAUAAUGAUAAUUUAAUCAUUUUACCCUUUUUAUUAACGCCGUACCUCCUAAAAAUAUUUCUGAAAUUUUAAAGAAACAAAAUAUAAAUUUUUAAAAUAAAAAAGCGAAUCUUUACAAGAGAGUAUUUUUCUUUUUUUUGGGAAAAACUUCAAAUACCCCCAUUGUGGUUUCACUUUUUCUCACUUUAGUACCCUGUACAUGUGGUUCAAAGAGUAUCAAGUUAGUACCCUAUGGUUUUGCACUUUCUCACUUUAGUACCCUAUGGUUUAAAGUGUAUUAAGUUUUUACCUUGUGGUUUCACGCUUUCUCACUUUAGUACUCUGUGGUUUCGCACUUUCUCACUUUAGUACCUUGUGGUUUAAAAACCACAACUUGAUACAAAAAUAAAAUCACAGGAUACUAACUUGAUACAAAAAUAAAACUAUAUGGUACUAACUUGAUAUAUUUUAAACCGCAGGGUACUAAAGUGAGAAAGUGCGAAAUCACAGGGUACUAAGUUGAUAUAUUUUAAACCACAGGAUGGUAAAAUAAAAAAGUACGAAACCACGGGAGAGUUUUUGAAGUCUUUUUUUUUUUUUUUUUUUGUCUAUUUUAGCCAUCAAAAUAUUGAAUUUCCCACUAUUUUCCAAAAAAGUAGGAAAAUUCCAGCUUUGAAGCGAAGCUAGAGAAGCACUCAUUACUCCCUUUUUUGGUUGGGAAUUUAUUAGUGCUUGUUGGUGGAGUAUUUUUUUUUUGCUCAACAACUUGAUUUCUAUGCAUGCACCAAACUGCUUUUGUGUCAGAGGCAUAUAUACCAAAGCAGUUCGCAUCUGAGAAUUGUGGAGAUCCGUUUGUAGCUGUGCCCGUUUAUAUAAAGCUUUGUACAGAGGCGAUUCUUUAUUAAUGAUGUAGAUGUUCUAUCUCCCAAGGCGCGUGAUGCGAUUUAAUGCCAAAAAAGAAAUAUCGUACAUAUAUCAACAUUACUAGAUCUAACAUGUGCAUGUACAAACUUUUGUACUAUAUCCCAUUAAUACUUAGUUGGUAAAACAGUGCAACAUCUAUCUGAAUUAUAGACCAUUUUAAAGAACUUGUUCUACUACCGACCGUCCCUAGGGCAAGUGACAAAGGGUUUGAUAGUUGGUACUCGAGAUCCAAGUUCGAAUCCUAGUUGAUUCACAUUUUCAGCUAAGUUUAUUUCUAAAUAAAAUAAACGAAGCGGAUAGCGUACUAACUAUCUCUAAAAAAAAAAAAAAUUGUUCUACUAUAUUAUCUAUAGUACUGAGGUUUCGAUACUAUAGUCUCGUUUUCGAUCUUAGAGUAUUCAAAUUAGCGAUCCAAACCAUCAAAUAUGAUCUAGAGUAUAUAAAAUUUUUAGGAAUAAAAUUUCAUCUUGUUUCAAUAUCGUUUACUUAGUAAGUAAAUCAUAUCAAAAUAAACGGUACAAAUUAAAUAGUUUUUAAAAUUUGAGAAUAGAACUUGUCAAUUCAAGAUCAAGAAUGUUGACCAUGAUCUAAAUAGUUUAAAGUAUUUUCUAUCAAAAUUUGAAUUAAUUUUGAUUUUUCUACAUCCUAAACUAUAAACUCGCCAAAGUAAUCAUUGAAAAUUCACUAGUUUGAAAUGGUUUGAUCAUAAAGUACAUUAUGUUAAAAAAAAUAUAAAAUUUUAUUUCUAAAAAUGUCAAAUACUCUAAAUCAGUUUUAACGGUAUGAAUCGUUAAUUUGAAUACUAUAAGAUCGAAAAUGAGACUGUAGUAUCAGAGCCCCGGUACUGUAUAUAGAUAGUAUGGGAGCCUAGCUCCAGCUGUUCAAUUUUUUAAACUUUUAAUUACUAUCCAACCUUUUAACUUAUUUAACUUUAGUUUCGGAUUUGAGUUAGCUGACAAUAAUUUAACUUCAAAUUUUGAACAUAUUGUUUAUCUUUACCUAUUUAUAUAAUUCUUAUAGUUAUAAAUUUAUUAAAAUAAGUAAUUAACUAGAUUUCAAAGUCAUUGUACCGCUUACUAAUUUAAAUCAAACCAAUAGAAAGGUUGGAUAAUAAAAUUAAAAUUUUGAAAAACUAGGUACUGAUUCAAAAUAACUUAUAGCUUAGGUAAGUAAUGUACAUUUUCACCUACUUAAUUUUCAAAGGUAAAUAUUACAUAUAUCUAACUAAGUAUUCUUAGCAGUAAUUACUAGCACCAGAGACCAAAAGCAAAAGUUUGCAAUUUGCUGAGAGAAGUUAAUAAAAGAAAUUUAUAUAGCACUUUUCUGAAUAACACUUGUUUCAGAUAGUAUUGCGUUUGCGAAGCUAAAUAGAUCAUAAAAGAGGAUUUUGGAAGCAAAAAAAUGUUGAACUUUUUAAGAUUAAUUUAAUACAGAUCCCUACAAAUAUAGUGAAUGACAAAUAUAUCACUAUAAAGUUCAACUUUCAUAUGUUUUUCCUGCAAAAGUCCCGAUAUUUUCAAAUAUAUCCCUGCCGUUAGAAUUCGCCAGAAAAUUUUAGUUAAUCAUAGAUUAAAUACUUAAUCCCAAUUAGUUUUUGAUAUUUUUAUCCUUUUAUAUUAUACUGUUAUGAUUUUUGGAGGGAUACAUUUGUGAUGGUAAAAUUGAAAAUAUGAAUAGUUUUUUUACGGUUCUCUAACGGUAACAAAGCAGAGAGACAUAUUUGAAAAUAUCAGAAUUUUUGUAGGAACAAUAUAUGAAAGUUAAACUUUAUAAAAAUAUAUUUAUUAUUCAGUAUAUUUGCAGGGACCUGUACGAAACUAACCCAAGUUUUUCAUAACAAUCACUUGUUUGCUGUCUCAUUUGUGGUGAUUUGAUGGCUGAACUGUAACAGUUGGCAGUUGGCUCGGCCCUCGCCGACAGUCUGCACCAUGGCCCAUUGGGCUCCCCCUGCAGGGAUAAUUUUAUUAUUUAAGUUAAUCAAAGAUAAAAACGUACAUAAUUUAUCCGACUAUCGGCCAUUUUGAAUCAACGAUUUAAUCUUUUAAAAUUUUAAUUUUACUAUCUACCUUUCAAUUUAGUUGAUUUGAACCGAUCAAUGAUUUUGUGACCUUAAAAUUUAAAUAUAUCGUUUAUUUUUGCAACUUUAGUUAGAAUACUUCGUACAAUUCUCGCAAAUAGCUUAAAUUCUGAAGUUAAAGUACUGUUGACUCAAGAUGGUUCAUAGUUCAGCUAAAUUUUAUANAAGAGUGUGGAUCCCCAAUCACAUAUUGCCACGUGGACAGUUGGAUGAACACUUGGUGGGGCCACCUAAAUCUAUCUAGGGAGUCUAUUUUAAAGUAUUCUGUAGUUUUAUUUUUUUCUUUCUAUUAUUUCCUUCACUAAUUUUUUCGUUAAAUCAGUGGCAAAGUUAAAAUUAAAGGAUACUGAAGUAAAUAUUCGAUAAAUUAUAUGUGGAUAUCUGAAGUUCUUCCAUAUAUAAUUUAACGAAAAGUUAACAGAAUGACUGACGAAAAGAGAAAAAUAAACCCACAAGUUACUAAAUUGAUACAUUUUAAACCAUAAGGUAUUAAAAUGAGAACGUGCGAAACCACAGGAGUUGUAUUUGAAGUUUACCUUAAAAAAAAAAAAUGGAUGAGAUUUUGAAUCUUCACGAAAUUUUUUUUUUUUUUUGUGCUGCAUAAAAUUUAUAAAAUAUAAUUUAGAAUUUUCUAAUAUAUAUUUAUUUAGAAUUAUAAUAUAAUAUUUGAUUCAAUACAGUAAUAUCGGAUUACUCCGGAUGUAAGAGUUGAUUGGGAAGGGAUGUAGAGAGAGUCAGAGAGUGAGAGCGGGUCGGAGAGAGAAAAAAAGAAUAAAGCAUUUCAAAUUUAUAGAACGGAGAGAUGGAUUUGUAAUGGAGAGAGGUAAAUAUGACUUUAUUGUUGUUCAUAAGUUGAGUGAUAAUUUAUAAUUAGUAAUGCAAGAUAUUUUUUUUUCCUAUAAUAUUUUUGGAUAAUUCUACACUAUUAGUAAUCUUAUAUAACUGAUAGGAUUACAUGCAGGAUGAAUAAAACGCAGUAAUUUAAAAAAAAUUCAGCAAAAUUUGAAGUAAUAUUCCUGACGAAAAUAAUAUAAAUCAAACACGUCCUAGAUGUAUUAUUAGCCAAUCAUAUUUUGAGGUGUUAAAGUGGUAAGGCCAUUUCUUAAUGUGUUGAUAAUGUAUUUUUAUACUAUUUUGUAGUAUUUGAGUUUGAACAUUAAUUGGUAUAUUUUCUAACCUUAACACUAAUUGUUAUUUUUUGCGCCUUUCGGAAAAUUUUUUGUAAAUUGUUGAUAUUUUGACCAGCUUAUAUAUGAUUUCAAUUGCGAGCAUAUACCAAUUAAAAUUAUUUAUAUUAUGCAUAUCUUAUUUCAUCGGUCAAUCUGUCCGGUGUCGCUAACACAAUAUUAUUUUUGACCAAAAAUAAAUAUAUUUGAAAAUUUUAUUUCAAAAGUUUCAUUUUGAUUUAGAAUGCCAACAACAACGUCAUUUAUCAAGAGCGAAAAUGCUAUUCCAUUUAUCUAUCAAAAUAGGCCCCAAAAAGACCCUUAUAAAUAUAUGUUUUUUUCACUUUUUAUUUCAUAAUUUUCAAAAAUUUAUAUUUUACUCGUUCAAUAUUUCAAGUUGUUGUAUUUAUCCAUUCUCCGUCAGGAUUCCAACACUAUUCUGUCAAUUUCAUAUAAUUUAGGAAAAACUUUAAAUACCCCCCAGUUAUUUUGCACAUUCUCACUUAGUACUUUGUGGUUUAAAGUGUAUCAAGUUAGUACCCUAUGGUUUCGCACUUUCUCACUUUAGUACUCUGUGGUUUAAAGUGCAUCAAGUUACUACACUGUAGUUUUGCACUUUCUCAUUUUAGUACCUCGUGGUUUAAUAUUUCGUUAAAUUAUAUAUAAAAAAAAUUUGAUACUCUACCUAAGUUUAUCGAAUAUUUAUUUUAAUACUCUUUAAUUUUAACUUUGUCACUGAUUUAACGAAAAAAAUAUCCCGAAAUGAAUAAUAAAAAAAAAGGAAACCACAUGGUACUAACUUGAUACAAAAUGAAACCACAGAGUACUAACUUGAUAUACUUUAAACCACAGGGUAGUAAAGUGAGAAAGUGCGAAAUCUAGGGUACUAACUUGAUACAUUUUUAACCACAGGGUAAUAAAGUGAAAAACUGCGAAACCACAGGAGGGGCAUUUGAAGUUUUCCCUAUAAUUUAUACCGAAAAUAUCAUUCAAAAUGACAGAAAUAUAUUAAAAUAUUAUUUCUUUUUAUAGAAGAGAUAAUGAUAAUUUGAUCAUUUUACACUCUUUAUUAAAAUAUUAAAAUGACAGAACCACAGGGGGUAUUUGAAGUUUUUCUUAUAAUUUAUACCGAAAAUAUCAUUCAAAAUGACAGAAAUAUAUUAAAAUAUUAUUUUUUUUAUAGAAGAGGUAAUGAUAAUUUAAUCAUUUUACCCUCUUUAUUAAAAUAUUAAAAUGACAGAACCACAAGGGGGGUAUUUGAAGUUUUCCUUAUAAUUUAUACCGAAAAUAUCAUUCAAAAUGACAGAAAUAUAUUAAAAUAUUAUUUUUUUUAUAGAAGAGAUAAUGAUAAUUUAAUCAUUUUACCCUCCUUAUUAACGCCGUACCUCCUAAAAAUAUUUCUAAAAUUUUAAAGAAACAAAAUAUAAAUUUUCAAAAUAAAAAAGCGAAUCUUUACAAGAGAAUAUUUUUCUUUUUUUUUUUUUGGGAAAACUUCAAAUACCCCCAUUGUGGUUUCAUUUUUUCUCACUUUAGUACCCUGUGGUUCAAAGUGUAUCAAGUUAGUACCCUAUAGUUUUGCACUUUCACACUUUAGUACGCUGUGGUUUAAAGUGUAUCAAGUUUUUACCUUGUGGUUUCACAUUUUCUCACUUUAGUACUCUGUGGUUUCGCACUUUCUCAUUUUAGUACCUUGUGGUUUAAAAAUCACAACUUGAUACAAAAAUAAAAUCACAGGAUACUAACUUGAUACAAAAAUAAAACCAUAAGGUACUAACUUGAUACACUUUAAACUGCAGGGUACUAAAAUGAGAAAGUGCAAAAUCACAGGGUACUAACUUGAUAUAUUUUAAAUCACAGGAUGCUAAAAUGAAAAAGUAGAAACCAUAUGAGAGUUUUUGAAGGGUUUUUUUUUUUUGUCUAUUUUAGCCAUCAAAAUAUUGAAUUUCCCACUAUUUUCCAAAAAAGUAGGAAAAUUCCAGCUUUGAAGCGAAGCUAGAGAAGCACUCAUUACGCCCUUUUCCUUUUUUGAUUGGGAAUUUAUUAGUGCUUGUUGGUGGAGUAUUUUUGUUUCUCAACAACUUGAUAUCUAUGCAUGCACCAAACUGCUUUUGUGUCAGAGGCAUAUAUACCAAAGCAGUUCGCAUCUGAGAAUUGUGGAGAUCCGUUUAUAGCUGUGCCCGUUUAUAUAAAGCUUUGUACAGAGGCGAUUCUUAAUUAAUGAUGUAGAUGUUCUAUCUCCCAAGGCGCGUGAUGCGAUUUAAUGCCAAAAAAGAAAUAUCGUACAUAUCAACAUUACUAGAUCUAACAUGUGCAUGUACAAACUUUUGUACUAUAUCCCAUUAAUACUUGGUAAAACGGUGCAACAUCUAUCUGAAUUAUAGACCAUUUUAAAGAACUUGUUCUACUACCGACUGUUCCUAGGAUAAGUGGCAAAGGGUUUGGUAGUUGAUACCCGAGAUCCAAGUUCGAAUCAUCGUUGAGUCACAUUUUCAACUAAAUUUAUUUCUAAAUGAAAUAAACGAAGCGGGUAGUAUGCUAUCUAUCUCUAAAAAAAAAAAAAGAAGUUGUUCUACUAUAUUAUCUAUAGUACUGAGGCUUCGAUACUAUAGUCUCGUUUUUUAUCUUAGAGUAUUCAAAUUAACGAUCCAAACCGUCAAAUAUGAUCUAGAGUAUAUAAAAUUUUUAGGAAUAAAAUUUUAUCUUGUUUCAAUAUCGUUUGCUUUGUAAGUAAAUCAUAUCAAAAUAAACGGUACAAAUUAAAUAGUCUUUAAAAUUUGAGAAUAGGACUUGUCAAUUCAAGAUCAAGAAUGCUGACCAUGAUCUAAAUAGUUUAAAGUAUUUUCUAUCAAAAUUUGAAUUAAUUUUGAUUUUUCUACAUCUUAAACUGUAAGCUCGCCAAAGUAAUCAUUGAAAAUUGACUAGUUUGAAAUGAUUUGAUCAUAAAGUACACUAUGUUGAAAAAAUAUAAAAUUUUAUUUCUAAAAAUGUCAAAUACUCUAAAUCAGUUUUAAUGGUAUGAAUCGUUGAUUUGAAUACUAUAAGAUCGAAAAUGAGACUGUAGUACCGGAGCCCCGGUACUAUAUAUAGAUAGUAUGGGAGCCUAGCUCCAGCUGUUCAAUUAUUUAAACUUUUAAUUACUAUCCAACCUUUUAACUUAUUUAACUUUAGUUUCGGGUUUGAGUUAGCCGACGAUAAUUUAACUUCAAAAUUUGAAUAUAUUGUUUAUCUUUACAUAUUUAGUUAGUAUAUUUUAUAUAAUUCUUACAAUUAUAAAUUUAUUAAAAUAAGUAAUUAACUAGAUUUCAAAGUCAUUGUACCGCUUACUAAUUUAAAUCAAACCAAUAGAAAGGUUGGAUAAUAAAAUUAAAAUUUUGAAAAAUUGGGUACUGAUUCAAAAUAACUUAUAGCUUAGGUAAGUAAUGUACAUUUUCACCUACUUAAUUUUCUAAGGUAAAUAUUACAUAUAUCUAACUAAGUAUUCUUAGCAGUAAUUACUAGCACCAGAGACCAAAAGCAAAAGUUGCAAUUUGCUGAGAGAAGUUAAUAAAAGAAAUUUAUAUAGCACUUUUCUGAAUAACACUUUUUUCAGAUAGUUUUGCGUUUGCGAAGCUAAAUAGAUCAUAGUAUUGCAAUUUGGAAGCAAAAAAUAUUGAAGUUUUUAGGGUUAAUUUUAUAUAGAUCUCUGCAAAUAUAAUGAAUGACAAAUAUAUCAUUACAAAGUUCAACUUUCGUAUGUUUUUUCUGCAAAAGUUCUGAUAUUUUCAAAUAUAUCCCUGCCGUUAGAAUUCGUUAGAAAAUUUUAGUUAAUCAUAGAUUAAAUACUUAAUCCCAGUUAGUUUUUGAUAUUUUUAUCCUUUUAUAUUAUACUAUUAUGGUUUUUGGAGGGAUACAUUUGUGAUGGUAAAAUUGAAAAUAUAAAUAGUUUUUUGACAGUUCUCUAACGGUAACAAAGUAGAGGGAUAUAUUUAAAAACAUCAGGAUUUUUAUAGGAACAAUAUAUGAAAGUUGAACUUUGUAAGGAUAUAUUUAUUAUUCAGUAUAUUUGCAGGGGCCUGUACGAAACUAACCCAAGUUUUUCAUAACAAUCACUUGUUUGCUGUCUCAUUUGUGGUGAUUUGAUGGCUGAACUGUAACAGUUGGCAGUUGGCUCGGCCCUUGCCGACAGUCUGCACCAUGGCCCAUUGGGCUCCCUCUGCAGGGGUAAUUUUAUUAUCUAAAAGUUGAUCAAAGAAAAAAACGUACAUAAUUUAUCGGACUAUCGGUCAUUUUGAAUCCAUGAUUUAAUCUUUCAAAAUUUUGAUUUUACUAUCUACCUUUCAAUUUAUUUCAUCUGAAUCGGUCAAUGAUUCUUUGACCUGAAAAUUUGAAAGUAUCGUUUAUUUUUACAAGUUUAGUUAGAAUACUUCGUGCAAUUCUCGCAAAUAACUUAAAUUCUGAAGUUAAAGUACUGUUAACUCAAAAUAGUUCAUAGUUCAGCUAAGUUUUAUACUUUUUUUUUUACCUUAAUCAUGUUACGUUCUCUCUCUAUGCGUGUGUGGAAAAGUGAUUAUAUAAACCUAAACCACACUAUCAAUCACUGUUUAAAUCAGUUGAUCGUUAUUUGGAAAUGCUGUUCUAGAUGUCAGAGGGUUGAACCCGAACCCUCUUCGGCCGGUUCGAUCUCCACGAGUUGAAUAUAGUAUCAGAUUUUGUAAGAGAUUUUUGAGACGAGGAGCAUACACGAGUCGCAUUAGAAAGAGAAAACAAAAAAAGAGAAAUUCAAUCGCUAUGUCGCCUCCCAUCCAUUUUUUAGGCAAUUAAAUUUAAAUCAUCGCCGUUAAAUUUUAAACUUAUUUGUCGAAAGUCGAGUUGGAUAUAAAUUUUUAUUGAAAGAAAUCUGAAAUCGACAUGAUACGAAUCUGUUUAAUCUAAAAAUAAUACGACAUGAUUGCGUGAACAAAUUGGGCUAGGAUCACUCCAUGGCCUAUAUUAUGUUGGCCCAAUUAACUUUUAAUCUAAUAGGCCCAAUAAGAGUUUAGGCGCAACUUACGAAAAAUCCAAGCCCGGUCCGUUAUGUUCCCGUAAACAUUCGUAAAAUUUUACGUAUAUUAAACUUUAGUCUCUGGCCAUUAAAAAAGAGUUAAACAUCGAUAAAUUUUUUCUACAAAAUGCUCCUUUUUCUCAUCUUUGUAGUAAAUCGAAAUAAACGAGUCUGUUUCUUCCAGAAAGUGGUAUGAUAAACGGCCAGGGCAUAACAAUUUUUAUUUAUGUCGAGGUCUAAUCUGUCAUAUUUGUAAAAGUUAGGGACUAAAGUGUUCGAGUGGGAGAUAUGUUUACAAUAUUAGGAUUGUAUAGGGACUAUCCGUAAAUUUUUAACACAUCAGGCCCAAUCAAAUCAAAAGGCCGUUAUUGGGCCGGACCCACUUCGCCAUUAAUGGGCACGGUUCUGCGAGUCGACUCAGAUAGGGACCGAGUCAGCGACUCGCUCGAGUCGGAUCGCUUAGUUACACACCGUAUUUUCUUAUUAUUACGCCCGAGCUUCCCGUGGCUUCUUACUAGGGUGCGUAUCUUUUCGAAAUACAUGGGUAACUAUAACGAUUGCCUCUUCCUCCGUAUGUGUAAAAAUUUGAAACCCUAAUUACUCGAUCUCGAACGCGUUACGGAGAUCGACUCACUCCCGUGGUAAUUUUUGCUCCCGAUUGAACGAUCCAAUGCUAAAAAUUAGAGGUACGGUUGUUGAUUAAUUCGAAAUUUGUAGGAAAAUUUUGUUCUUAUAAUUGCUCUGCAUGAAAUUCGGAAUUACUGGAUGUAUUUAUGUGGAAUUUUCAUGUGAUUAGAGAUUAUUCUCUCUGAUUUUUCCCAAUUAUGGCUUGAGUUUCUAAUUUGAAUAGUAAAAUGAGAAAAAUGUAUGUAUAAUGACUCUACUUGCUUUGUGUUUGAUUAGUUUUUGCUUAACACUACCACCGGUUAGAAGUUGUAAGCUCAAUCAUUAGUAAUUUGAAUAGUAAAAUGAGAUAAACGUAUGUAUAAUGGCUCUACUUGCUUUGUGUUUGAUUAGUUUUUGCUUAACACUACUACUGGUUAGAAUUUGUGAGCUCAAUUAUUAUUAAUUUCCUUCUGAUUACUAUUUAAAAUAUUAGUUAUCCAAAGGUGUUGAAAAGUCCACCAAGUUCCUGUUGUUUACAACACGAUGAACACGUCGUUGAAAUUUUGGUUUAUUCGACCUCGAUGUCUUUGAAAUUUCGGUUGAUAUCUAUUACUAGUCAGUUGUGGGGGCGCGCAAACAUCAUUUUUACUGCAAGAUGGAAUUAUUUUGUUGCUUGCGAAUUAAUCGGAUAGAUGUACUAACUCACCAAAUGCUUUGGCGAUUCCUCAUGAGCGGAUGAAACAAUAGUUGUUUGAAUUGGACAUUUUCGCUCUUGUGGUUAUUAGUUGUAUUACUGUCCCAGGAAGCUAAUACAAUGCGCCUUUUGAAAAAACUUUUCUAGAAAAGUUACAUAUACGUGCGAUGGGGAAAACAUGGCUAGUUUCCUUAUCACCCGCUUUACCGUUCUCAGAGUUUGUUUGUUGUGUUACUUGACGUACCCAUUUCUUUUCGUAUCAAUCGAGAGAAAUAUGUUUGACAGUUUGUUUGUUAUCUUCGAUCAUCGUUAGUUAUAAGUUCUAUGCUGACUCCUUUUAUUUGACGCAAGCUGAGGUUAAGAGCUCGAAUACGAAAACGAUUAUUUACUUAGUCACUGUAUUUUCAAAGUAGAAUGAGGUUGAAGUAGUGUAAAUGGGAAUUGAUUUUUUUGAGAAUUGGUAGCAUGCUACAUGCUUCAUUCAUUGAAUGGAUUAAUUUGGCUAUAGAGGUGAGGCAGCCAGGGCCUCAAGAAAAACAACAGAACAGAGGAAAAAAAAAAAAAAAAAAAAACCCAAUGGGAAUUGAUUGAUGAAGGAUGUAUGCUAGUUUUUGUAUAUCGUAACGUAAGGAUAGGGUAUUCUCCUUGUUUCCUUCUAGUUAAUUUACAUUAUUUGUUUUAUGAUCCUGUAUAUAAAAAUCUUACGUGGCAACAUUAUAGGUUAAUAUGGUUGCUGCCGUUGAACUGCAUUCUAACUGUUGACUCGUGAACGUGGACCCACAAUUGUUUUUAUCUCCGGUUUGGAUUUCGGAAUUUUGCUCUGGAGUUCUAAUAGAGCUUACAAGAUUACUAGAGAAGUAACUAAAAUCCAGCGAGUAACUCGUUAACAUUGCAAUCAAACAAUGAUUAGUUUUGUAACUCUCAUCAGCAAUUAUCUUGUUAUUGUUUUUUGAGUUCUUUUGUUCUACUUAUACUGCCUUUAUGUGUCUGACAAUACUACAAACAAUACACUUCCAUAACCCCUGGUUGUCUCACCCCUGUAGCCUAAUUCAUACUUUUAAUAAAUAAAGUAGAUAGUGUGCUACCUAUUCUCAAAAAAAAAAACAAUACACUUCCAUAACAGUUGUUAUACUCCCUGUUAUAUGUCAUCCUGCCGCAUCAUGAAAGAUGCUUACAUUGGCUCCUUUUUUUCUCCCCUCAUACAAAGAUGCUACUUCGGCUCAUCUAUGCCCUUACUUCAAAGAGAAAUGACCAAGGCAGAGGAAUCUGUCCCCCAAACCAUUAGCAACCCAAUGUGUGUUUCCCAUAGAAGAGGCAUCAAUAAGAGAGGCACUCAUCACUUCCUGGGAGGUACAAUAGUGUCUUUUUAUAGUUAUUAUUAGAGUGAGAUGAAUGCCAAAGUUCAGAGCUUUGAUGGGCUGUCCCCAACUUGAAGCAGAUGUGGGUAGUGGAAGAGCAGCAUGUGAUCCCCUCCUUUCCCUCUUAUGGACUUACUGGGUUGUAGCCCCCAUUUCACUAUGGACUUACUGGGGUGUAGCCCCCAUUUCGCUGAGUGGCCUUUUGCUAGCUUAUGCUUUAAGCGGCAGCCACUUGAGUAGAGUGUUUAACAAACUGAAAAAUUCAGUGCUUCUUCUGCUUUGUUGAAAAGCCGAAAUGUGCUUUGGGCUUCAAAAGUGAAAUCUCUUACUUGGAACUUCUACUUCUACUGCAAAAGAAAGUUCUUGGAGUAGUCGUAAUAUAAGAAGUCAAAAUGAGCUUUUUUUCUAACAACUCUGCUUAAAUAGUAUCUCUGUGGAAGCUACAACAGGGGCCAAAUUGUACCUCAGUGUCUAUGUGACCUGGAAUUAAGAACUUCUCUACUUUAAGAAGCAACAGUCAAAUUCUUGGCCAACAAAAAGUUUGGAGCUCGUCAGUAUGGACAAACUGACAUGAUAUUCUGAGCUCCAAAAAUAGAUACUUGUAUGCGAAGCUUUUGCUUCGCCGCACUAAUAUAUUGUUAAUGGAAAAACUCUUUUAGUGCUUAUCCGAGCAACUUUAGUCAAGUCGCUCAUCGCAGAAGCUCCAACUACAUUCAAAGUUAGUCCAAAGGAAGAGGGCCCCUUUUAGCAGCCGUUAUAACUGUAGCCAUGAUGCUUCGUACAUGUUUGCUCUGAUAACAUUUACCUUUCUGUAUGGAAGUGUAUGUCUUUUUCGUUGGCUAUAGUUACCGACAAGCUAUCAAUAGUUAGGUUCCUUGUGAUUAGAGGUUCCUGUGGUCAAGGAAAUAUCUUCUCGGACGGAGAAAAUCUAGUUUUAUUUUUGCAUGAAAUUACAUUAUUCUUUUGAAGUGUGAAAUUAAAAUAUUUUACUGUAGCAACUAAUUUAACGUAGUAUCUAGUGGUUAUGUUAUAACAUUGCCAUUAUGCAAUGAAUUAUUCUGUGGUGUGAUGAGGAGAUGAUACAUUGCGAACUAGUUUGCAAUUACUAAAACAUGUUUUGAUCUGUGUGUGUAAAUUACUAUGAUGGGUUUUGAACAUAUUAUGUGGUGAUAACUUUGUAGUAUGGGAUAAAAAAACAAAAAUUUGUGAUUGUAACUUGAGUUUGAUUUUAGGCUAUUGGUAUAUUCUUAUAUACAUGAUUUAUUAGGUAAAAGUAUUCCAACCACAAUUAAAGUGGUUUCUUAUACAUCUCAUGCGAUUGUAGAUAUGUACUCAUAGUCUCUGUUGAUCAAUUACUCAAAUUUCCCGUGAGUAAGCGAAAGACAUAGGCUAAAUAAGAUGUUCAUAUAUUCAAAAUGAACCCUUAAGCACCGGUCGAGCGUAGAUAGAAGUUUUAACUAAUUGAGUAUUUUUGUACACGCACAUGCAACCAAAGUGCAAGCCAUUGUAUAGAAAUAUGCAUAGAUAGAAACAAAAGAGUCCUAUAAAAUCGAUGCUUGUGAAUCUUAUGCAAACCAAAAGAUGACUUAUCUAGUGCAAAUUUUAUCAUAUGUUUUAUUUUGUUUCUCCUUAAUUAGUAAUUAUUUUAUCAAUGCAUGUGAUGUGAUUUAUUAGUUAAAAUAAUAAAAACUAUUUUUUUUUUAUGUGAUUAAUAUUUUUCCGAUAACUGUAUCGGUACUAUUUAGAUUUUAGACCACUCCCUGUGUGCUUGUUUUUGGCUCCAAUAGUGGGUGUUGUUGGAAACACUAUCGGGUACGGAGUCUCGUGCCUUGGUCUUGACCUGCUCCACUGGUCCACCAAUCAUAGCGAGGCAUGCCACAUGGAGGCCUCCUCACCGCACAUCUUCUCUUGUACGGCUGCUGAUGAUGUCUGCGUUGUUGUGCUUUGAUUGGACGGUGGAGAAUCGACCACGCGUCACAUCCCCCACUCUGAAGUGUUUCUCCCAACAGCUUUGCGUCACGUGGAGUUCACAUGCAAACUGGGUCUUCCUUUGAUUGAGGUUCAAUGGGGCCUGGUGAGACCCAGAGUUGUUUAUUUUGAAAAACCUUACAAAUAUAUAUAUAUAUAUAUAUAUAUAUAUACACGCACGCGACUCAUCUGAACUAUAGAUCAUUUUGAAUCUGCUGCUAAUCUAAUAAAAUUCUAAUUUUAGUUUUUUAUUUUAUUAAUUUAAGUCAAUCAAAGAAUAUUCUGACUUUAAGAUCUAUGCUAAUUACUUUAAUAUAUUUCUAGUUGUAAAAUUUGUAUAAAGUAUGCGAACUAAAUCUGUGAAGAUAAAUGAUUGAUUCAUAUCAAAUAAAUUGAAAAAUUAGAUAGUAAAAUCAAAUUUUGAAAGGUCGGAUAGCCUGAAUAUAUGUAUAUCUUCACUAUAAGUUGCAUUUAUGAUAUUUUCUAGCGUUAAGGUGAAAAAAAGAGAGAAUAUCAUAAAAGUGUGCUAGCCAGUUUAUAUUGUCAAAGGGUGUAGUACUCAUGGAUGAAAUGUUGUGUGAACAUGAUUUUUGAAAGCUCUUUUGGCACCUUAGAAUCUCAUUUAGUAUUACCGUUGCAGUAGAUAACUGUUGCUGAAUGCAGAAGCAAAAGUAGCUCGACACAAUGUGCUCUCCCGUAGCUAUCUCUAUGUACCUUGUCAUACUGUUGUUGAUUUGGGCUUUUGGCCAUCUUGUAUUUGGAAUUUUAUGGUAAAAAUGUAUGGGCCCUCGAGUCGUCGGCCACUCCCGAAGCCUAGAUGGGCCAGCCCGGUCCGGCCUAGCCCAUUGAUUGCCUCAAUUCUAGGGCAAAACAUAGUAUUGUGUACUUGAAAUUGACAUAAUCAAUCACCCUAUGUUUACUUCUCAAAAGGAAUAAAAAGAUGAACUUGCUAUGUGAUUAUGUUAGAUACUUUUGGAAGAGUUCUUUCUCUGCUGUCUCUCUGGAAACAAUCAGUAAAAAAUCAUGCGUGCAAUCAUAUCUAUCUCUAUUUCUAUUCAGCUGUUUAAUAAAGUGUCAUAUCAGAAGUAUUAUUAGAGUAAAAUUUGUACAAUAUUUUUUUUCAGCAACUUCUCUUCACGAUUGAAUCUCUUAUUUUUCUCUUUAUGAAUAAUUUCUCGCUGUACAAUUGCAAGUUUCAAACUAAAUGCGUAUAUUUGUUUAGUCUCAAACUUAGUUAACUGAUUACUUAGUGCUCUGAUAUAGAUGACUACAGCUUAAAGCAGACGCAGCAUAAUACGGAGAAACGUUAACCGUGUACCUUCGGAAAAAGGCAUGUGGCCCAUUACUCCUGUUGAUCAUCAUCAUCAUAUGCAAUUAUUUAAUUGUCCUUUUUUGGUCCCUUUUCUCUCUCUCUCUCUCUCUCUCUCUCUCUGUUUUCCCCAAAAAAGACCAAUCUUAUUGCCUUAUUAUUUGCUCUGAUGUUUCUUAGUAUUGCACCAAGCAUCAUUUGACAAAACCCUAAUGUGGACAUCAUCAUAACACUUAGGAAAAAAAAAAGAGAAAAAUCCAAUAUCUUGUGGGGACUAAUCAUUAGUGAAUCCAACACAAUUUUAGGCCAAUGCCAUGUUGUCGCAAAACCAAAUAGUGCCACCAUAAACACAGUUAUUUAUCCCUUUUAUUAUGAGCACAAACCAUACAAAUAUGUCAUUGCCCAAGCAUGCAAUUAUUAUUAUUAUUGUUAUUAUUAUAUUAUUAUUAUAUGAUACUUUAGUUAAUUAUUUACUAAUUAUAUACUUUUUAUUUUUACUUGAUCCAUAAUUGCAUUUUAUUGAAAAGAAAAAGUAAAGGACAAAAGAAUACAAGGAAAGGCACCGCCUCACAAAAUGGCAUUUUUGCUAUUUACAGCUUCAUCAAGGGUGAGUCUAAAAUCCGCUAAAGUCCAAAAUAAAAGUUAACGAGAGUGAGAAAAAAAAGAAAAAAAAAAAGGAGGAAAAAGUUGAUUAGACUCGCCCAAUAACAAUUGAGAAAAUUUUUUUUGGAAAAUUGCCUAAAUUUGCUGUAGAAUAAUCGAAUUUGUUAGCAAUUUUAUACUUUUAUUUAUUUAUUUAAUUUUUAUGUUCUCGAGUUGACCAACUUUAAAGUAAUAAAAGAUUGAUUUUUUGAAUCUCUUCUUACUUCUAUAUUUUUUUUUGUACCUCAUAUUAUAAAACUAAAUCUUUGGUACUAAGAAAAAGUGAAUUGACUGAAACAAAUUUACAUUCUAUAUAAUUUUCUUUUGUCUAAGUUUUUUUUUUUUUUUCGGCCCCCUCUAUUUUCUCCUUUAAACAAUUUGGUCCAUUCCUCUCGUUAAAUUCCUUAUUAGUAUUUUCAUUAUUUAUUAUCAUUAUCAUAUUUUAUUAUUAUUAUUAUUAUUUUUGCUCCACUUUUGUCCUCUCUCUCUCUCAUUCUCUAUAAAUACCACUCUAUAAGGUUCGUUACCACUCCUCCGCUCUCUCCUCCUACUACUACUCUUCUUCUUCUUCUUCCUCCUCCAUCCCCAUCAUCGAAACCCUAAACCCUGUACAAUCACAGCACUAAAUGCCCCAUUUCGCAUAAGCCGUGUUCUACGAGUGCGGCGUAGAUAGAUAGGUAGAUAGAUAGAUAGAUAGAUAGAGAGAGAGAGAGAGAGAGAGGGGAGGGAGGGAGUGUGUGUGUGUGUGUGUGUUGUGUGUGUGUGUGUGUGUAGAGAAUUGAAUUGGUGGGAGAGGGGAGGAGGGGUUGAAUUAGGGUUUUGGGGGAGGGAUUGGGGUGGCGGUUUGGUGGGGGGGGGCGCGGGGGAUUUGGAUGAUGGAGAGGGCGCCGGGGUGGGUGGGGGGAUUGGUGGAGGAGAGCUUCUUCGUGGGGUGCGGGGCCCACGAGAGCCGGAAGAAGAACGAGAAGAACAUCUUCUGCCUCGGCUGCUGCACCAGCAUCUGCCCCCACUGCGCCCCCUCCCACCCCUCCCACCCUCUCCUCCAGGUUUUUACCUUCAAUUUCUAAUCCAUUCAUCAUCUUUGUUGUGUUCGCUUUGCUUUUCAAUUCAACUCGGAUUUAGGGUUUUCUCCUCUGUUUCACUCCCCCGCCCCCCCCUUUUUUUUCCCCUUUUUUUGGCUCCCUAGGAAGAAAAAAAAUCCGUGUUUUACACUAUAUAAGAAAAACAAACAAACCCAACAAUAUGGUUUCUUUUUUUUUUUCCAUCUAUAAAUUUGAAGUCUCUUUUUUGGCUCUGAAUUCAGCUUGGUUUUAGGAAAGAUGGAGCAGGAAUUUUAAGCACAGAAAAAAAAAACCCUGCCUUUUUGUGCUUACCUGUUUUUUUUUUUUUUUUAAAGAAACCCUGAUUUCUUAUGUGGGUUUUGCUUAGAAUUCAUUGCAUCUUGGGUGGUUUCUACUGUUUGUUCCCUUUUUUUUUUCCUCUAUCUUUUUUUUGAAUGCAUUUCUGAUUAUGGCUUCAGAGAAAAUGGUGCAGUACUUGGGUAAUUAAAUUUCUCCUCUGUUUUUUUUUCCACAGAUAAAAGUAAUUUACUAGGCCAUGAUUAAGAUAUUAAUUUUGUUAGUCCACUGGAAUAAUCUAAUUUUUAUUCUGUUUGUAUAAAUUUUUCUUCUUUCUUUUCUUUUAUUUGUUUUUUUGGGUGUUGCCUUAAAUGAUAUAAAUGCUAUGAGGGAAAAGUUGAGCUGUUACUGGUCUUGGUCUCUGUUUGAAGCUAGAAAUAGUAGUAGCUGCUGCAGUAUGUAGUCAUUGUAGUGGUAGUGGUGGUGGGAAUAGCUGUUAAUUUUGUAGCACAAACCCCCCCUUUUCUUGGUCUUCAUACAUGCAACUUUCUCUCUCUAUAUAUCCCUCUUUUCUUGAAACAUGCAUCUCUCUCUCUCUCUCUCUCUAUUAAACGUUUGAUAGUAAAAGGACAUUGGGGAAGUGCACCUUUUACAAAAAGGUAGCCUAAAGAGGCCUACCUUUAAUGGUGGUGAUAGUAAUAGCAUCCUCUAAUAAAGGAAGUUUAAAUUUAUAGAUGGAAAUGUCAAUUUAGGUGGUUUCUUAAUCACAGAAACAAAAACUUUUGUAGUUCUUCUUGAUUUCCUUUUUCUUAAAAAAAAAAGAAAUAAUUUUUACACUUGUUGUUUACUACUCCAUCCAUUACUCAUUAUUUUGUCAAUUAUUCAUUUAUGUUCAUUUGCAAUCAAUGCUUAGAAUUAUCCAAACCUGUUUUGCUAAAUUGCUAUCAAUGGAAACUUUUAUCCUUUGCUUUUGGAAACAUCCUCAUCAUAGCCUUAUAUUUUCUCUUCCUCAAAGGAAACAAUUACUACAAACUUUUACCCUAAAAAUUUUACCACACUGCAUUAACAUUUUUCACCUUUAAUUUGAUUGUUGAGUUUUUUUUUCCUUUUUUUUUUUUUUUUUUUCNNNNNNNNNNNNNNNGUUUGUUUUUUUUUUUUUUUUUUUUUUUUUUUUUUUUUGCCAUCCAAAAUGGUUUGAUACUAUCCACUAUAGGCCAAAAUAAUAAAGGUUUCAAACUUUCUCCUACUCUCCUACCUACACAGACCAAUUUACUAUUUUGCCCCGCUGGACAUGCUUGGAUUUUUCCUAAUAGUACUGUUGUCAUAGGGGGCAUAAAUGUCUUUUCAACUCGUGUUUGCCCUUUCCUUUCUCUUUUAGGGUACACUGUGAAAGGAUCACUUGGUCAAAGUAUGAUAAUAAGUACCCAAUGACUCGCAUCUUUAGGAGUCCGAAUUAUUAUCUAAUCAUCUUAAAUGCUCAAAGAUUCCACUUUUGGGGGGCAGUGUUGGAAUUUUGUCUAAUAAGCUGCUUUGUUUAAGUACUUUGUGUGCAUGGUAAUUAAGAAUUUGUUCAAGUACUUAAACAAAGUAGGGGCAUGUGUUGUUUAAGUACUUUGUUUGAGUACUUUUAAUCAAACAAACACAUUUAAUUUCUGGGAAUUUUGACCAUGUUGAUUUAGUUUCUUAAACACAUAUACAUGAUAGUUAACGAUAGUUAGCUUAGUAAUUGACAAUUUUCUUUUUUUGGUAAUAAUUUAGGUACGACGAUACGUGUACAACGACGUCGUUCGAUUGGAUGAUCUCGAGAAGCUAAUCGACUGCUCCUAUGUUCAGGUAAAAAUUUGAUCAGUAGUUCUUCAAGAAGAUAGAAUUAUGACUAAUUAAGUUAGAAAGAAGACAUAAUCUCCUCGUUUCAUGGUUAUGAAAAAUUUAAAAAAUUGUAUUCUUACUUGUAUUUGUUUAUAAUUUUGCGGUUUAGCCCUACACUAUAAACAGUGCAAAAGUAAUUUUUCUGAAGCCAAGGCCCCAAUCAAGGCCCUUCAAGGGCUCUGGCAACAUCUGCCUCACUUGUGAUAGGAUCCUCCAAGAGCCUUUCCACUUCUGCUCCCUCUCCUGCAAGGUACCAGUCCUUAUCUCAAAUAUAUAUAUAUAUAUAUAUAUAUAUAUAUAUCUUAAAAUUUUAACUUUUAUAGUUUUAUCUCAAUUACAUAGUAGUAAAUUAUUUACUUGGAAGUCCAAACAUCACUUCAUAUAGCUAGAUUGGAUCUUGAAUUCUUGGUUAGCACUUGUUUAGCUCGGCUUCUGCUUUUACUUUGAAAUGCAAAGUGCUAUAGUUUAGAGCUUGUGCUUUUACUAGAGAGAGAAGUUGUUCAGGGAAUUUAAUAUAGUCGAAACUUUCGCCAAGGCACUACUCAGAUAGCACUUUAUUGAACAGCACUGCACUAUACCCCAAUGCUAAACAGGUUCAUGAUCAGAACUAAUCCAAACAUUUAAUUUUAGGUAGGGGAUUGCAGGAACUUUUCACCAGUAGUAGAUAGUUGACUCUUAGAACUAAAAUUCUCGUCGAAUUGCAGGUUGAUCAUGUGAUGCUACAAGGUGAGGAUCUAUCGAGCAUCCUGUUCCGGUUUGACGAGUCGGACUUCGCCUUCUCGCGCUUCGAGAAUUUGAGGAUGGACAGCUCCGACCUCAUCGAGGACGACGGCCAGAUAACGCCCAACUCGAUCCUCGAGCACCCUUACCACUACAACGGCUCCUCGGGAUCGAGCAACGGCGGCAGUGGCGGCGGCAGUGGCGGCGGCGGCGGCGGCGGCAGAAGCACUUCUCGGAAAGGCGAGGCGUCUGAAGUGCAGAAGAGGAAGAAAGGUGGUGGCUUCUUCCCUCAGAUAGUGUUGUCUCUAAGCAACAGGAGGAAGGGUGCUCCUCACAGAUCUCCUCUCUCUUGAAUCCUCAAUUUCCACAAGACAGAAAAGAAAAAAAAAAAAAAAAACAAGAGCAGGAACCAAAAAAAAAGAAAUGAAAAGCUCAAGAGGGUAAAUUCUACUAUAGAACAUCUAAUAGUUGAUGUUUGUUUAGUGUGUGUGUGUGUAUGUGUUUGUUCUUGCCCAGAAUGCCCCUAUUCAUGUGGAGAGGGUGGGGGGGAUAUUAUGGGCAUUAUUUUGCUGCUACUCUGAAGAGGACUCAAGAGCAUUUCCAUUGCAAACUAGGUGGCCACAGUGGACCAUAUUUGAGGCUCACAGUGGCCACCAAUUUUGUAUUCAUUGCAAUGGGGGUGCACAUUUUCCAUAUCCAUCCUUAUAUAUUCAUAUAUUUAUAAUUUAUAUGUAACCUUGGGGCUUUGUACUACUUGGUCUCUUUCUAUAUUUGUGUGUGUGUGUGUGUGUCUCUUUUGUCUUUUGACCAACAUCACCUGUUCCAACCCCUUGUUUAUCACAAUUAACACCCUCAAGUUUACAAUAAUAUAUAAUUGGGAAAUAAGAAACAAUACACAUAUGUCAUGACAAUUGAAACAUGAGGGAAUUUAUAUGUAUGUAUAUGCUGUGUUAACUCUUUGUAUGGUUAGGGUUUCCUCUGAGUACUGGUCACAUACGGUGGGGAUGCUUCUGCCCAAUGUCACCUGGAUGGAUGCUUUUAUGCUUCUAUGCUUAUUAUUGAGUGUGUGUGUGUGUGUGUGUAUAUAUAUAUAUAUAUAUAUAUAGAGAUAUAUAUAUUAUAUAAUAUAUAUAUAUAAUAUAUUAUAUAUAGUAUAUAUAUAAAAUUUGAGCUACAAUACUUUUAGAAGCACCAAGUCUUUGGUGCUUCUAAAUUUUAGCCCUUGGAUCUACUCUUUGAUUACUAGUAGUCUUGGAUCAAGCAUUAUUCACGCCUACUAACCUACCACUACCUACCAUUAUUAUCUUUAACCUUACAUCUCUUCAUUCAAUGGUUAAAAAUUCAAAAGCACCACUCCUUUUGUGCUUUUGAGAGUAUUCUAGCUCAUUCUUCUCUCUCUAUAUAUAUAAUUAUGGCAAAUUAAAAUUUUUGGAAGCAGACGAUUGAUUUAUAUAAUAUAGAUAGAGACUUCGAUUAAUCAGGUCGUUUAGUUUCUUUUAUUCUUUUUUAUUAUAUUUUAGUUUUCAUUUGAAUGUACCGAAAUUGUCAUGUGCUUUAGAGUAAAUGUUGUUUCAUCGUAUAGUUGUAGCUGUUACCUACUUCACCAUAGCGGGAAUAUAAAUAAGAUAUGGGAGGAGUAUUUUAUUGAAUGUUAUCUUUUUUUUUAAAAGGAAUAUUUUUUCUUACAAUUAAGUCUUGAUUUCAUACAUUGAAUGUUGAGGUACAAUUGUACUUUUAUCCUUCUAGUACAGUAAAAUCGUAUAUGUGAAGUUUUGAUACACAUUGGAGAAGCUAAUAUAUCAUAUAUAGUAUAUAUAUAUAUAUAUAUAUAUAUACAAAAGGUUAGUUGUAACCAUUAAAUUUGGGUACUUUUUUUUGGCCAAAAGAAAUCUAAAAUAGAAAAAGUGCCACAACAAUUACUGUGGUUAAAAUUAGUAUAUAAUUGAUUCAUUUUUUUUUUAAACUUCACUAGCUAAUGAUUUCGAGAAAGAAAAUAAAAUUGGGAGCAAAAUUUGAGUGCAAUAUAGAAAGUACACUAGCAUUUUUUAGUUAUUCGCAAAAAUUACGAAAACUAUUUUGCAAAUUUUGUUUGAAAAACAUUCUUUUUAUAAUUUUUAUAUUUCAAAUAAAAACAUUUUCAUGAAUUCUGAACAAAAAAAAAUCAAACAAACUUUAUUUUUCGAACAAAAUGAAUAAGAAAUUGCCUUUUCUGUCAAAAAACACUAUUUUUUUAAAAAAAAAUGGAAAAAAACAAAGGUGAUGCCUAUUUUAUAAACAACCCCGCAUUAAUUGGAGUUUGUUCAAAUGGGGUUAAAUAGCUAAUAAAAACUAAUAAUUUUAAUUAUUUCUUUUAUUUUAAAUAUCCAGAACAACUUAAAUUAAAGUGAAUUAAUAAGAUUAAAACCAAAAAUCUCUCUCAAAAAAUUAACAUUUCCCAACCCCACCACUUGCUCCACGUGAUGCCUAUUUCUACGCAGAGAUAGUUGUGGCUCUGCAGAGAGAGAAACCCCAAAAAAUAAUUAAUAAAAAGAAUAAAUAAGUAAAUAAAUAAGUAAUUAAUUAAAAUAAUUAUAUAUAUAUAUAUAGAGAGAGAGAGAGAGAGAGAGAGUAAUAAAUACACCGAGAAGAGAGCCGUUUGGGUCGUUUUCACAAGAGAGGUGAGGAAAAACAAAAAAGUUAAAAAAAUAAUAAUAAUAAUAAUUGGCCACUUUUAAUUUUUGUUAAUUUAUUAUUACGAGCUAUUAUUACUAUUUAUUAUUAUUAUAAUCUGGUUUGGUCCCUUUUGUGGACAUGUAUUAAUUAAUACAUUUUGUUUGGGCUUCGCCCUAUUUUGUUUGACCCACAAAAAAACAACGUUCGCGAAUUCCAAAGCACAAAACAUUAGCAUCUGAAACUGCACCCUGUCGGUGUGUAAACGUACGUCUCCAUCACCAAAAUUAGAAAAUAAAUAAAUAAAUAAAUAAAAUAAAAUAAAGGUUUUUUAAAUUACUAUUUGGUUCUCCACAUGACACACACACACGACAUUGCACUGUUAAUUAAAUCCAAUCAAAUUAUUCCUUUCUAAAUAAUAAUACAUUUGCAUGUUACGAACCCACGAACACACUGCUAAGAAACCCUAGAUUUCGAGGGUAUCCUUUUGUGUUAAGUCAAGUAUUAGUUUAUUGUUUCCUAGAUAGUGGGGGGUUGUAAUUAAUAUCGAGCAUUAUCAUAAUAAUAAUAAUAAUAAUAAUAAUAAUUUAUUUUAGAAAUAUAUGAUAAGAUACCUGAAUCCACGAUCGACUCGACUAGAUAUAAUUUAUCCUAUCAAAAUAUCUACAAACUAAAUUUUAUAUUUUUUUCAAAAUCAUUUGACAAUAUAUAGAACAAAGUAGUCUAAAAAAAAAAGGCCGAAGAUAAAUAUCUCAUAAAAAAUAAUGAUAAUAGACUUAAAUUUCAGAUAAUAUGUGUCGAUCUUAUUCCAAAUAGCAAAAGCAAAAUUUAUCAAAAUUUCACUGUAUUUGAAUUGUUUCAGCACCUUUAUAUUACUAUUUAGUGGUACCGGUCUUUAAAACUGCUAAUUUUAAAUAAGAAUAUUUCAUGACUACUCAAAUGAUAUCGAAAAAUAUAUAAAAUUUUAUUUUUAAAUACUUAUAAUAGAAAAAUUAUGCCUAAUGAAGUCGACUGUCGAUUCAGAUAUUCUAUUAUUGAAAAUAAAUCGUUAGCACGGAGCUGCACACGCAUACGUAUAGUUACUUAUAUUUUUAGAAAAAAAUUAGUUAGUGUUCAAAUUGUACGGGAGCGCCUAGAAGGUUUUUGAUUUGAUGUGAUUGGCCCCCCACAUUAUAUGUUAGACAUAAUUAUGAUGUCUCCAUUUAUAAUUGGUUAUAUUGGAAAAUAGCAUGAAUGAAUAGUAUUUAUAUUUUUUUAGUCAAAUAAGGAAUCUAUGCUUCUAUAAUAUCCCUAUUUAAUUUUCUAAUUAAUUGUAUACUUUAUCACCUAGUUAACAAUUAAGAGUGAUCAUUUGAGCUUAAUUUGCAAGAUUUGAUUAUGAGAUGCAAUUGAUUAAUUGGUGAUUAAUUGGCAACUAGCAUGCAUGUUGUAGCCAUUUUAAUAUCUGUACAAUUUUGUGGGAAUGAUCAUAAUUUUGGGAAAAUUAUUAACUAUGAGAAAUUUAUUUCAUGAUAUAUAUUUUUUUUUUAAUUUGAGAAAGAUCAGAUGGAGUGAUGGAGCCUUCUUUCUCAUAAAGAAACAAAAGUUUCAUUUAUAGUGAAGAGUUCAUAGAGCACAGUGUCCCAUCCCCAGCAUUGUUAGGUCUUGUCGAGGGUGAUAGCGAUAGCGCAGUAAUUAAACGUUAUCCUCGACUGCUCGUAUAGUUGGUAAAAAAUAUAUUAUAUGUAUCUAAAAAAGAUAUAGAAUUUGGUUGUUAUUCCAUAAUCCAAUUUCUUCUUUUUUUAUUAUUCUUUUUUAGUAUAUAUAUAUAUAAGGCUGCGCACUACCCGCUUCAUUUAAAAAACAAAAUACACACGAACAAACGGUAAAGAGGGCGGCAACGUUAGGCGGCAAAGAAAAACUAGGAAAAGGAUAAGAAAAUGCGAUACAAAACAUGUAAGUUAUAACAAUUAAAGCGGAACUAAAGUAAAAGUAAAGUAAAACAUGACUAAGCCAAGCAAAGCCUCAUUGAGUAAAAGUUAGAUUACUCGAUCUCUGUAUCGCACCCUAAAAUCACUUUUUGAUAUUGCUUGUGGCGAGAAUUGGGUCUCAUGUAAGUCUACUGAAAAUCACUUUUUUUUUUUUUUUUUUUCNGAUGUAAGUAAAAAAUAUAAUAUAACUCAAGUUACGUUAGAGCUCCACUUCACCUACUCUCGACUUCCUCCUCUAAAGUGCCGAACUCGACUUUCACUACACUCAACCUACUCUAAAAAAUUUAUUAAACAGUAAAAUCUAAACUUUACUUCCUUUAUAAUGGGUUAGAAUUACCUUAUUUAUAAUAAAUUAGAAUUAUCUUUAAAUAAUAAAAAAAAAUUAAUUAUAUAAUAGAUUAAAUUUUAUAGUGGUAAAUUUACUAGAUAAUGAGAUCCACUUACUUACAUCAAAACAAACAACGGAACUCAAAAAAUUAAUUUUACCAGCGCCAAGUUACAUCAAAACAAACAGCAGAAGUGAUUGAAUUUAACUUUCAGGCGGUACGAGUUACGUCAAAACAAAAAAUAAAAAAAUAAUCACACUUCAGGAAAACUCAAACACCACUACACUUGACUUACGUUGAAUCUACAAAUACGUCAAUCCAAACGCCCCCUAAAGUACACAGUCUCUUCGUACAAUU
rnacentral:lncRNA from 1 species